rnacentral:lncRNA from 1 species
GUUCUUGGUUGUGUUGUAAGGUGUGAAUUUGAGUAAGACUCAAAGCCCGACCACGGCAGAAGAAAGAGAAAGGACGAAGGUCAUCCCCUAUGCCUUAGACAUAGCUCUAAAGUAUGCCAUGUUGUGUAACGCACCGGAUGUGUGCCUUGCCAUGAGUCUGUCAAGGGGUACAAAGAGUGAUCCAGGAUUGAAUCACUAAAACAACGGUCAAAGUUAUCCUUAGUAACUAAUGGACUAAGGAAUUUUUCUCGGUUAUGGAGGUGAUUAAAGAGUUCGUCGUAAAGGGUUACGUCGAUGCAAGCUUUGACACUAACCGAAUAACCCUAAGUAGUAAACCGGAUUCGUAUAGUAGAGCACUCAUUUGGAAUAUUUCCAAAUAGCACGUAGUAGCAGCAUCUAUAGGAUGACAUAAAGAAUUGUAAAGCACACACAGAUCUAAAAGGUUCAGACUCGUUGACUAAAACCUCUCUCACAAGCAAGACAUGAUUAAACCCCAAAACUGUAUGGGUGUUGGAUUCGUUAAAAUCACAUAGUGAUGUGAACUAGAUUAUUGAUUCUAGUGCAAGUGGGAGACUGUUGGAAAUAUGCCCUAGAGGCAAUAAUAAAUUAGUUAUUAUUAUAUUUCUUUGUUCAUGAUAAUCGUUUAUUAUACAUGCUAUAAUUGUAUUGAUUAGAAACACAAAUACAUGUGUGGAUACAGAGACAACACAUUGUCCCUACUGAGCCUCUAGUUGACUAGCUCGUUGAUCAAAGAUGGUCAAGGUUUCCUGGCCAUAGGCAAGUGUUGUCACUUGAUAAUGGGAUCACGCCAUUGGGAGAAUUAUGUGAUGGACAAGACCCAAACUAUAAACGUAGCAUAUGAUCGUGUCGGGUUUUUGUUACUGUUUUCUGCAUGUCAAUGUAUUUGUUCCUAUGACCAUGAGAUCAUGCAACUCCCGAACACCGGAGGAAUACCUUGCGGGUUAUCAAACGUCACAACGUAACUGGGUGACUAUAAAGGUGCUCUACAGGUAUCUCCAAAGGUACUUGUUGGGUUGGCAUGGAUCAAGACCGGGAUUUGUCACUCUGUGUGACUGAGAGGUAUCUCAGGGCCCACUCGGUAAUACAACAUCACAACAAGCCUUGCAAGCAAUGUUACUAAGGAGUUAGUUACGGGAUCUUGUAUUACGGAAUGAGUAAAGAGACUUGUCGGUAACGAGAUUGAACUAGGUAUAGAAUUACCGAUGAUCGAAUCUCGGGCAAGUAACAUACCGAAGGACUAAGGGAACAGCAUACGGGAUUAACUGAAUCCUUGACAUAGAGGUUCAACUGAUAGAGAUCUUUGUAGAAUAUGUGGGAGCCAAUAUGCACAUCCAGGUCCCGCUGUUGGUUAUUGACCACAGAGUGUCUCGAGUCAUGUCUGCAUAGUUCUCGACCCGCAGGGUCUGCAAAAUUAAGGUUCGGUGACGUUUCGGUAUAGUUGAGUUAUAUGUGUUGGUGACCGAAGUUUCGUUCAGAGUCCCGAAUAAGAUCCGGAUGUCACGAGGAGUUCCAGAAUGGUCCGGAGGCGAAGAUUGAUAUAUAAGAAGUUGGUGUUUCGAUUCCGGAAGAUUUUCGGGCAUUGUCGGCAAUGUACCGGGAGUGACGAAUGUGUUCCGGGGGCCCACUGGGUGGCCCCACCACACCCCAAGGGGUUGAUACGUCUCCGUCGUAUCUACUUUUCCAAACUCUUUUUCCCUUGUUUUGGACUCUAACUUGCACGAUUUGAAUGGAACUAACCCGGACUGACGUUGUUUUUAGCAGAAUUGCCAUGGUGUUGUUUUUGUGCAUAAAUAAAAGUUCUCGGAACGUCCUGAAAAUUUACAGAGAUUUUUUCUAGAAUAAAAGAAGAAUGCCUGUGCAAAGAUCCACUGGAGGGGGCGUGCCAGUGGACCACAAGCCCACAGGCUGUAGCCACCCCCUAUGGCCGCGCCGCGCAGGCUUGUGGGGCCCACGUGGCACCACCGCCCCCAAACUCAGCUCUAUAUCUUCCGUUUCGCCUGAAAAAAAUCAGAGAGAAGGUUUCAUCGCGUUUUGCGAUACGGAGGCGCCGCCACAUCCUGUUCUUCAUCUGGAGGGCAGAUCUGGAGUCCGUUUCGGGCUCCGGAGAGGGGAAAUCGUCGCCAUCGUCAUCAUCAACCUUUCUCCAUCGACAAUUCCAUGAUGUUCUUCAUUGUUCGUGAGUAAUCUCAUCGUAGGCUUGCAGGACGGUGAUGAGUUGGAUGAGAUCUAUCAUGUAAUCGAGUUAAUUCUUGACGGGGAUUGAUCCCUAGUAUCCACUAUGUUCUAGAUUGAUGUUGCUACUACUUGGCUAUGCUUAAUGCUUGUCACUAGGGCCCGAGUGCCAUGAUUUCAGAUCUGAACCUAUUAUGUUGUCGCCAAUAUAUGUGUGUUUUAGAUCCUAUCUUGCAAGUUGUAGUCACCUACUAUGUGUUAUGACCCGGCAACCCCGGAGUGACAAUAGCUGGAACCACUCCCGGAGAUGACCAUAGUAUGAGGAGUUCAUGUAUUCACCACGUGUUAAUUCGUUGGUCCGGUUCUUUAUUAAAAGGAGAACCUUAAUAUCCCGUAGUUUCCAUUAGGACCCCGCUGCCACGGGAGGGUAGAUGUCAUGCAAGUUAUUUUCCCUAAGCAUGUAUGACUACAUACGGAAUACAUGCCUACAUUAGAUUGACGAACGGGAGCUAGUUACAUAUCUCCCCGUGUUAUAGCUGUUACAUGAUGAAUCACAUCCGUCAUAUUCAUCCAUCACCGACCCACUGCCUACGAGUCUUUUACUACAGGUUCUCGCUACGUUACUUUGUCUAGGCUUGUCCCUUGCUACAAAAGGGAUUGGGCCACUCUGUUGCUACUGCUGUUACUUUGCUGCUACUGUUGCUACUUCUGUUACUUUGUUACUGCUGCUGCUGCUGCUGUUCCUUGCUACUGUGUUGUUACUUGUUGCAAGACUUUUCUGGAGUCGUAGCCAGGAAAGCGUUCUUCUCAAGAAUAAUCCCCCGUCAACGUGCUGGCGCCAUUGGUACAACAGUUAGGAAUAGUCUACCAUCAACAGAUCGUUUCUGGCACUGUUGCUAUCAUACUACUUUGCUACUAAUACUUUGCUUGCAGACACUAAUCUUUCAGGUGUGGUUGAAUCUGACACAUUCAGCUGCUAAUACUUGAGAAUAGUAUUUCGCUUCCCAUCAUGCGAACCAACAAAUUUGGGUUGAAUACUCUACCCUCGAAAACUGCUGCGAUCCCAUACGCUUGUGAGACAUCAAGGCUUUUUCUGGCGCCGUUACCGGGGAGGCAGAGCUAUAUUCUCUGAGUCAAUUGGGAUUGACGUGUGCUGAUCACUAUGAGGAAUCCGAAAGAUCCAAGAACUAAAAUCCUACCUUUCACUACGAGGAGAGGUAAGGAACUGCCAUCUAGCUCUGCACUUGAUUCACCUUCAGUUUUGAGUAAGUUUGCGACUUCGUCUCCUGCUAGAAAUCUUGAUAUGUCGCCUGUGCUUGAUGAUGCUACUUCUGCUGCUCAUGAUGCUAUGCUUGAUACUAUGCCUGAUGAUGCUAUGCUUGAUACUAUGCCUGCUAUGCCUCAUACUGCUUUGCCACUUGGUGCAUUCCUUGAUGCACAUAUUGCUAGAGCUGCUCCUAGAUGUGAUGAUACUUCUGAAACUGCUGAUACUAUUGAAGUAGAACCUGCUACUAUGCCUGAAUUGCCUGUAAUGCCUGAUACGCGCUAUGUUAUGGAGGGAGAGAUAGCUGAGGACUUUCUUGCGUGUAAGGAUAGCUAUGAUGUUGAGAAACUUCUGCGCAAGUGGAAAGAAAAAUCUCUAAACGCUAGGAUGAAAUACGACCCGAAGUUUGCUACUUCGCCUAUCUUUGUGGCCGAUAAGGAUUAUGAAUUCUCUGUCAACCCUGAGUUAAUCACUCUGGUCGAAUCUGAUCCUUUUCACGGUUAUGAGUCUGAAACGGUUGUAGCCCAUCUUACCAAACUGCACGAUAUAGCCACCCUAUUCACUAGUGAGGAAAAGAUCCGCCACCACUAUAUGCUCAAGUUGUUUCCUUUCUCGCUAAAGGAUGAUGCUAAGACCUGGUUCACUUCCCUUGCUCUUGGAUGUGUGCGUAGCCCCCAGGAUAUGGUCUACUACUUCUCUGAAAAAUAUUUCCCUGCCCAUAAGAAGCAAGCUGCCUUGCAGGAAAUAUACAACUUUGCUCAAGCUGAAGAAGAGAGUCUCCCACAAGCUUGGGGGAGGCUUAUCCAGCUACUGAAUGCUUUGCCUGAUCACCCUCUUGAGAAGAAUGAAAUACUUAAUAUCUUCUAUAAUGGACUUACCGAUGCUUCAAAAGACCACCUAGAUAGUUGUGUCGGUAGUGUUUUUAGGGAACGAACCGUAGAACAAGCUGAGAUUCUACUGAAUAACAUCUUGUGCAAUGAGAAUGCUUGGACUAUUCCCGAACCACCUCCUAAGCCAACUCCAAAGAGAAGAGGUAUUCUAUUCCUCAGUCCUGAAGAUAUGCAAGAAGCCAAGAAAUCUAUGCGAGAGAAAGGCAUUAAAUCUGAAGAUGACAAAAAUCUACCACCUAUCGAAGAGAUCCAUGGUCUCGAUAACCCGAUACAGGUAGUAGAAGUAAAUUCUCUGCGUAGGUUUGAUGAGAGUGAUAUUCCUUUUGAUAAACCUGCUAGCUUAUGCAUGGAUGAAUUUGAUAACUUCGUUGCUAAACAACAAAGUAUCAAUGAUUAUGUUAGCAUACAAUUGGAAAAGAAUGCUCGUAUGCUUAGUCAUUUGAGUGCUUGUGUGGACAGAAAUGUCAAUGAUCUUAAACUUCUGAGUAAACAUGCCUCUAUGGUUACUACUCAGGUAGAACAAGUACUUAAAGCUCAGAAUGACUUGCUCAAUGAGUUGAAUGACAAUUCCGUCAGAGUUGUUACUAGAGGUGGUAGAAUGACCCAGGAACCUUUAUAUCCUGAGGGUCAUCCGAAGAGAGUUGAACAAGAUUCUGAAGGAGUUAGCACUGAUGCACCUAGUCAUCCUAGAAAGAAGAAGAAAGAUGAUAGGAACUUGCACGCUAGCAACCCUGCUACACCUGAGAGUCCAAACGAUGCCUCUGCUACUGCAACAAAAGACCUUCCAACGGCGCCAGAAAUAGGAGUGUUGCUUGAUACUCCUCAGCAACGGCACCAGGAAUCCUUCAGCUGUGGCUACGCCUUAAGGGACUUCCUAGGCAAGUAUGCAAAGGAUUUCCCCCGUAGCCUUGGAGCCUUGCGUUCGUGUUCCCUCGAAGCAGAAAGGGUGAUGUAGCGUAGCGGUGGUAAGUAUUUCCCUCAGUUUGAGAACCAAGGUAUCAAUCCGGCGGAAGAGUAUCUCAAAUCCUGCACAAACACAAAAACUUGCACCCAACGCUAUGAAGGGGUUCUCAAUCCCUUACAGAUUGUUUGCCAAGUGAGAACUGAAAGCAACAAAGUAACAAAGCAAAGUAAAAGCGUAGGUGUAAACGAUGGAUGUAAAUAGACCCGGGGACCGUAGUGUUUACUAGUGGCUUCUCUAAUGAAAGCAAGUAGGCGGUGGGUGAACAAAUUACUGUCGAGCAAUUGAUAGAACUGUGCAGAGUCGUGACGAUACCUAUGCAAUGAUUAUUUCUAUAGGCAUCACGUCCAAAACAAGUAGGCCGAUACUGUCUGCAUCUACUACUAUUACUCCACACGUCGACCGCUAUCCAGCAUGCAUCUAGUGUAAUAAGUCCAUAAGAACAGAGUGACGCCUUAAGCAAGAUGACAUGAUGUAGAGGGAUAAUCUCAAACCAAUGAUAAAAACCCAAUCUUUUUACCCUUCAUGGCAACUGCUUGACUGUGUGCCUUGCUGCCCCUACUGUCACUGGGAAAGGUCACCACAUGGCAGAACCCAAAACCAAGCACUUCUCCCAUUGCAAGAAUCAUAGAUCUAGUUGGCCAAACAAAACCCAAGACUCGGAGAGACUUACAAGGAUAUCAAAUCAUGCAUAUAAGAAAUCAGCAAAGACUCAAAUAUAUAUCAUAGAUAAUCUGAUCACAAGUACACAAUUCAUCGGAUCUCGACAAAACACACCGCCAAAGAAGAUUACAUCGGAUAGAUCUCCAUGAAGAUCAUGGAGAACUUUGUAUUGAAGAUCCAAGAGAGAGAAGAAGCCAUCUAGCUACUAAUUACGGACCCGUAGGUCUGAAGUGAACUACUCACGAGUCAUUGGAGGGGCGAUGAUGAUGAUGAAGAAGCCUCCACCUUCAAAGUCCCCUCCGGCAGGGCGCCGGGAAGGGUCUCCAGAUGAGAUCUCGCGGAAACGGAAGCUUGCGGCGGUGGAAAAGUAUUUUCGAGGCUCCCCCAAUUUUUUGCGGAAUAUUUGGGAAUUUAUAGGCCAAAGACCUAGGUCAGGGGGCGGCCAGGGAGGCCACAAGCCUGCCCACCGCGGCCUCCCCCCUGGUGGCGGAGUGGGGGCUUGUGGGCUCCCUGGAGCCCACCUGGCUUGGCCCAAAAGCCCCGUGGUCUUCUUCCGUUCGGGAAAAAAUCAUUUCGGGGUUUUUCUUCCGUUUGGACUCCGUUCCAAAAUCAGAUCUGAAAAGAGUAAAAAACACGGAAAAAACAGGAACUGGCACUUGGCACUGAAUUAAUAAGUUAGUCCCAAAAAAGAUAUAAAAGGUACAUAAAACAUACAAAGAAGACAAGAUAACAGUGUGAAACCAUCAAAAAUUAUAGAUACAUUUGAGACGUAUCAGCCUCUGUCUCUGAUGCUGAAACACAAUCUGGUGAUGAACAUGAGCCUAAUGAUAAUAUCAAUAGUGAUGUUCAUGAUGAUGCUCAACCUAGCAACGAAAAGGAUGUGGAGAUUGAACCUUUUGAUCUUGAUAACCCACAGCCUAAGACUAAGAGAUACGCUAAGAAUGACUUCACUACUAGGAAGCAUGGUAAAGAAAGGGAACCAUGGGUUUAGAAACCCAUGCCCUUUCCUCCCAAACCAUCCAAGAAAAAGGAUGCUGAGGAUUUUGAGCGCUUCGUUGAGAUGAUGAGACCUGUCUUUCUGCAAAUGCGUUUGACAGAUAUGCUCAAGAUGUCUCUGUAUGCUAAGUACAUGAAAGAUAUUGUGACUAAUAAGAGGAGGAUACCUGAGAUUUAGAUUUCCACCAUGCUUGCUAAUUACACCUUCAAGGGUGGAACUCCUAAGAAACUAGGUGAUCCCGGUGUGCCCACUAUACCUUGCUCCAUUAAAGGUAAGUACGUUAGAACUGCGUUGUGCGACCUUGAGCCGGUGUUAGUGUUAUGCCUCUCUCUCUUUAUCAUAGACUUGAACUCGAUAAGUUGACACCCACUGAAAUCUCUCUGCAAAUGGCCGACAAAUCAACUGAUUUCCCUAUCGGCAUUUGCGAGGAUGUGCCUGUUGUGAUUGCUAACACCACUAUCUUAACAGACUUUUUUAUCUUGGAUAUUCCUGAGGACGAUGCCAUGGCGGUCAUCCUCGGAAGACCCUUUUUAAACACUGCAGGGGCUGUUAUAGAUUGCAACAAAGGCAAUGUCACUUUCCAUGUCAACGGUAAUGAGCAUACGGUGCACUUUCCGAAGAAACAAUAUCGAGUACAUUACAUCAAUGCAAUCGGGAAAACUUUGUCGGUUCUUAUUGGGAGCUUUGAAUGCCCUAUUCCUCGUGUCAAGAUGAAGUAUGAUAUGCUUGUUGGGGAGAUACACAUCCCCAUUGAGGUGACCUAGUGACUAUUCGAAAAUUCUCCGUUCUCUUUUGCGAAUCAGAAAGGUUUCUCAAAGAGACUUGAUCAAACUCACUGACGGGUUUCUUUCGGUGACCAUGAGAUGGAUGAAUCGAGGAGUCAAAAACCUCUGUUCCAAACUUUCACUUUAGGUUGCUUAGAAGAAAAAUGAUAGGUUUAGUUUAGUUUUCCCUGUUUUCUGUUUUAGCGUCCCGUAGAAAAGUACCCCAAAAAUAAAAGUUCUCCGAACGCUGUGAAAAUCUAGUAUGAUUUUUUCUGGAAUAUUUGAAAAAUACUAAGACAAAGAGUUUGUCUGGGGGCCACACCAGUGGCCACAAGCCCUAGGGGCGCGGGCACCCCCUGGCCGCGCCACCCAGGCUUGUGGGGCCCACAGGCACCCCCUUCACUCAUUCUUGCUCUCAUCCGCUUCUCCUACCUCCAGAAAAAAUCGUUUCGCAGCUCAAACUCGUGUUCUUGCUCAUCUUGCUGGGAUUUUCGAUCUCUUUGCUCAAAUCACCGUUCUCCAAACUGUUUUGGGGAAAUUACUCCUUGGUAAGUGACUCCUCCAUUGGUCCAAUUAGUUUUUGCUCUAGUGCCUUAUACUCCGCGUAUUUUUGCUGCCUUGGUGACCAUGUUCUUGAGCUUUGCAUGCUGAUUCUAGCUGGUCCCAAGUAGUUUUGAUGCGUAAUAUGGCCUCUAGGCACUUGUGGGAGUAGUUGCUACGAGUUUAGUUGAGCCUUAUUCACUUUUCCUUAGAAUCACUAAAAAUUUCAGAAAUUUUCAGAGAUAGAAAAGGGAAAAGAUGAGGAGGUUCUUGAGAGGCUCGUCAAGCCGUGACCCCAAGGAUGAUGGGAGUGAGAAGAAUCCCAAGUAUUCGGUCCCUCGAGUCACAGAAGUUCAAGCGUGCGAGUGGCCAAGCGACGUAUUCUUACGCGCCGCUGGAAUUUAUGAGGACUUUUAUCACUUGGUGGAAAACGCAGGUCUUACCACCUUCGUUGAAGAUAAGUGUUCGCAAUACCUCCUCCUCACUAAUAUCUUCAUACAAAGCUUUAACUUCUAUCCGAGGAAGAAUCCUCCUAUGGUUGAGUUUAAACUUUAUGAUAUCCCCCAGCGCAUGUCACUCCAGGACUUUUGCAAUGUUUGCAAAUUACCUUACGUUGGGGAUAUUCAUGAACCUCGUCCACGAGACUUGGAAGCUUUUAUCGGUACAAUUGUUGUAGGAGAGGAGAGAGGGGUGUCUUGCGCUAGAGCUGCUAGCAUUGAUUUUCCCGUGCUUCAGUAUUUCUCAUUAUUUGUGAGAAAAUGUUUGAUUGGUCGUGGGAAAGCUGGGUCACUUAGUUCCCCAGAUCUUGCGGUCUUGCGCGAAGCCCUUUAUAACGAUAAAACUUAUAGCUUGGGCGCUAUAGUAGCUGAACGGUUGAACCUGAACCAUUCUAAAGGUGUUGUCAAUGGAGGUAUCUAUGCUACCCGUCUUGCCAGACACUUUGAGAUACCUAUUAGACUGGAGGAAGAAGAAGAGGUUCUUCUUCCCGAGAGAUAUCUAGAUUACGAUAGCAUGGUUCGCCAUGACUUUCUUGAUAGAGAUAUAAGUAGAAGGAUGAUUUAUAACCUCGUAUUUAGUCAGGGUACUCAUGAGACUAUUAUUUUGCCUACUCCUUCUUUGUUCAAUCUUCAUGCAGGCAGGUACACUAUUAUGCCCUCGGACAUCUACGCAUAUUGGGGCCUAGCCCAACCACAAGUGCCCGUGCCUGAGCCACCAGUCGAGUACCAGACGCCAGUUUAUCAGUGGGAGCCAGAGGAGCUCACACAGCAGUGGCAUCCACAGUCCACUCCGGAGUACCCCGGAGCUGGUUAUUUCCCUCCUUGGGAGUAGACCAAGUUAUGCCAAAAGCCUAAGCUUGGGGGAGUACAUGUUCUCACCGACUUUACAUUCUUGCUUAUGCUUUCACUUUGUUAGCCGGUGUUCACACUUUGCCACUGUAUCAUCCAUGCUAGUUUAUUUUCUUUUUCUCAUUUUCGUUUAGUGUGUCUGUCUAGUUUGAGAAAACCCAAAAAGAUUUUCUUUUUCUUCUUUUUGCUUGUUGGGAGCUUUCCCGUGUAGAUAGUUUUCUUUUUCUUUGGGUCAAGGUAGAAGAUAUUGGUUACAAUGUUUAGUGGCUUUUGCAUGCAUACCUGUUUAGCUUUCAAAAAGCCAUAUUACUUUGUCUUCUCCUUUCUGUUUGCCUGCAGAUUCCAGCUUUAGUCCAAUGCACGAGCACGCUUAUUAUUGUUCACAUCGUUCGAUCGUGCAAGUGAAAGGCAAUCAUGAUGAUAUAUGAUGAAGUGACUGAGCCUGGAAAAGCUGGUUUGAACUCGAUCUAUUUUGUAUUUGUAAAUAUGACUAGCUCAUCAUGCCUGAUUCAGCUUUGUUGUGAGAGAAACAUGUUUGCAAUGACAACUUAGAGAUCAUAGUUGCUUAUGCCAUGCUUAUUUAGCUAGGAGCUUAUAAUGGUUUGUCUUGGAUGCCCACAUGAAUGUUGAGAUGACUAUGAUGUAGUAUGAUAGGAUGGUAUCCUCCUUUGAAUGUUUCAAGUGGCUUGACUUGGCGCAUGUUCAUGCAUGUAGUUGAAAUAAAAUCAACAUAGCCUCUAUGAUGUUCAUGUUCAUGGUGAUUUAUGUCCUGCUCAUGCUUGCACUCAAUGUUAGUUAAUCUCAAUGCAUUUUGAUGACUGUUGUCGCUCUCUAGUUGGUCGCUUCCCAGUUUUCUGCUAGCCUUCACUUGUACUAAGCGAGAAUACUGCUUGUGCAUCCACUACCAUAAACCCAAAGUUGUGCCAUAUGAGUCCACCAUACCUACCUAUGUGCGGUAUCUACCUGUCGUUCCAAGUAAAUUUGCAUGUGCCACUCUCUAAACCUUCAAGAAAUAAUCUGUUUUGCAUGCCCGAACCGCUCAUGUGGUGACAGGGGGCUAUUGGUAUCUUCCAUGCUAGGCGUGUUAUCCUCGAUAUAUGUUUAUUCACUAUCAUUCACGAGAAAGGGGUCAGUAAUUGGAAUUCCCAGUUCCAUGCUCAAAUCGAAAAGAUAAUUGCAAACAAAACACCCCCAGGAUAGAUGUUGGUUUGGACGGUACCCGAGGAUUCGGCUAGCCGUGGAGUGUGAUUGAUUGGUGGUGGGGGAGUCAAAACUUUACUUUUCUGUUUGGGAACCGCCUAUAGCAUGUGUAGCGUGGAAGAUAUUGAGAACUCUUAGUCAUUGCGUUGACAAUGAAAGCAUGCCACCCAAAACUAUUACCUCUGUGAAGGGCCUGUCUAUUUAUGUUCCUGUUGAGUCAUCCUCCUCUUAUAAAAGCACCAAUUAGAGAGCACCUCUGUCAUUUUUAUGCUUUGCUUUUAACUGUGUUGAGUGUGAGUAUGACUGGAUCUUCAUUGCCUUGAAUUACAAUGUUUAGUCAGCCCUUGUUCUUUUAAGGUGCUCUGCAUUUAUGUUUUGCGGUCUCAGAAAGAGCUAGCGAGAUACCAUCUAUUCAUACUGCUUCAUGUUGUUUUGGUCGAAGUUUUGACAUUUGAGGCUUACUAUUAUUUGCUCGCUAGCUGAUUAUGCCAUUGAUAUGAGUUUACCGUGAGACCUAGAUGUCAUUUGCUUAUGUGGUUUGAUUGUGAUCUUGCUGAAAUUCUGGUUAUGAGUUAGACAUAGUUGCAACAACAAGAUCAAACAGAGUUCGUCAAAGUUUUUCUUUUGUCUCUCUCAGUUUGUCAACUGAGUUGCUUGAGGACAAGCAAGGUUUUAAUAUAGGGGGAGUUGAUACGUCUCCGUCGUAUCUACUUUUCCGAACUCUUUUGCCCUUGUUUUGGACUCUAACUUGCAUGAUUUGAAUGGAACUAACCCGGACUGACGCUGUUUUCAGCAGAAUUGCCAUGGUGUUGUUUUUGUGCAAAAAUAAAAGUUCUUAGAACGUCCUGAAAAUUUAUGGAGAUUUUUUAUGGAAUAAAAUAAAAUACCUGCGCAAAGAUCCACCGGAGGGGGCGUGCCAGUGGGCCACAAGCCCACAGGCCGCAGCCACCCCCUAUGGUUGUGCCGUGCAGGAUUGUGGGGCCCACGUGGCACCACCGCCCCCACACUCAGCUCUAUAUCUUCCGUUUCGCCUGGAAAAAAAUCAGAGAGAAGGUUUCAUCGCGUUUUGCGAUACGGAGGCGCCGCCACAUCCUGUUCUUCAUCUGGAGGGCAGAUCUGGAGUCCGUUUCGGGCUCCGGAGAGGGGAAAUCAUCGCCAUCGUCAUCAUCAACCUUUCUCCAUCGACAAUUCCAUGAUGCUCUUCACCGUUCGUGAGUAAUCUCGUCGUAGGCUUGCUGGACGGUGAUGAGUUGGAUGAGAUCUAUCAUGUAAUCGAGUUAGUUCUUGACGGGGAUUGAUCCCUAGUAUCCACUAUGUUCUAGAUUGAUGUUGCUACUACUUGGCUAUGCUUAAUGCUUGUCACUAGGGCCCGAGUGCCAUGAUUUCAGAUCUGAACCUAUUAUGUUGUCGCCAAUAUAUGUGUGUUUUAGAUCCUAUCUUGCAAGUUGUAGUCACCUACUAUGUGUUAUGACCCGGCAACCCCGGAGUGACAAUAGCGGGAACCGCUCCCGGAGAUGACCAUAGUAUGAGGAGUUCAUGUAUUCACCGUGUGUUAAUGCGUUGGUCCGGUUCUUUAUUAAAAGGAGAACCUUAAUAUCCUGGAGUUUCCAUUAGGACCCCGCUGCCACAUGAGGGGUGGACAAUUGAUGUCAUGCAACUUCUUUUCCCUAAGCACGUAUGACUACAUACGGAAUACAUGCCUACGUUAGAUUGACGAAUGGGAGCUAGUUACAUAUCUCUCCGUGUUAUAGCUGUUACAUGAUGAACCACAUCCGUCAUACUCAUCCAUCACCGAUCCACUGCCUACGAGUCUUUUACUACUGGUUCUCGCUACGUUACUUUGUUUAGGCUUGUCGCUUGCUACAAAAGGGAUUGGGCCACUCUGUUGCUACUGUUGUUACUUUGCUGCUACUGUUGCUACUGCUGUUACUUUGCUUAUGCUACUGCUGUUCCUUGCUACUUUGAUGUUACUUGUUGCAAGACUUUUCUCGAGCCGUAGCCGGGAAAGCAUUCUUCUCAAGAAUAAUCACCCGUCAACGUGCUGGCGCCAUUGACACAACAGUUAGGAAUAGUCUGCCGUCAACAGAUUGUUUCUGGCACUGUUGCUAUCAUACUACUUUGCUACUGAUACUUUGCUUGCAGACACUAAUCUUUCAGGUGUGGUUGAAUCUGACACAUUCAGCUGCUAAUACUUGGGAAUAUUCUUUCGCUUCCCGUCGUGCGAACCAACAAAUUUGGGUUGAACACUCUACCCUCGAAAACUGCUACGAUCACAUAUGCUUCUGGGACAUCAGGGGUCCACAUGGGUUUAUUGGAUGCGCAAUAAGGUAUAAUGGGCUAACAAAGUCAUCCAAUGAAAGCCCAUGAGGAAAAACUCGAAAAUCCAAAAGAGAUGGGAAAAUAAGGAAGGAGUCCUAAUCCAAGUAGGAUUGGAGGAUGACUCCUCCCUUCCCCACUUAGGCCAAGGCUUCCCCUCCCCUCCUCCUAUAUAUACUAGAGGUUUUAGGGUUUUUGAGACACAACUUUUCCACGUGCAACUCAAACCUAUACCAUGUAGUUUUUCCUCUAGAUCGGAUUUCUGCGGAGCUCGGGCGGAGCCCUGCAGGAGUAGAUCAUCACCACCACCGGCGCACCGUCACGUUGCCGGAGAACUCAUCUACUUCCCCGUCUCUCUUGCUGGAUCAAGAAGGCGAAGAUCGUCAUUGAGUUGUAUGUGUGCGGGACACUGAGGUGUCGUCCGUACGGCACUUGAUCGGGACGGAUCACGAGACGGAUCAUGGGACGGAUUGUGAAGACGUACCACUACAGCAACCGCGUUUAUUAACGCCUCCGCUUAGCGAUCUACAAGGGUAUGUGGAUCCGAUCUCCCUCUCGUAGAUGAACAUCACCAUGAUAGGUCUUCGUGUGCGUAGGAAAAUUUUGUUUCCCAUGCAACGUUCCCCAACAUCUCCAUCAUGGUGUCUCCAUGAAGUCGUCUUGCCAACUAUUACUUUGAUUACUAUGGCUAACGGUUAGCAAUAAAGUAAAGUAAUCACAUGGCGUUGCAUCUCAUACAAUAAAUUAAGACAACUCCUAUGGCUCCUGCUGGUUGUCAUACUCAUCUACAUGCAAGUCGUGAAUCCUAUUACAUGAACAUGAUCAAUCUCAUACAUCACAUAUAUAUCAUCACAUCCUUUUGGCCAAAUCACAUAACAUAUCAUACCCUGCAAAAACAAGUUAGACGUCGUCUAAUUGUUGUUGCAAGUUUUACGUGGCUGCUAUGGGUUUCUCGCAAGAACGUUUCUUACCUACGUGAUAGCCACAACGUAGAUAUGCCAAUGAUAUUUACCCUUCAUAAGGACCCUUUUCAUCGAAUCCAAUUUGAAUAAAGUGGGAGGGACAGGCACCCGCUAGCCACCUUAUGCAACAAGUGCAAGUCAGGCGGUGGAACCAGUCUCACGUAAGCGUAUGUGUAAAGUCGGUCCGGGCCGCUUCAUCGCACAAUACCGCCAAAAAAAGAUUGGACUAGUAACGGCAAGAAAUUAACAAAAUCAUCGCCCACAACUUUUGUGUUCUACUUGUGCAUAGAAUCUACGCAUAGAACCUGACUCGGAUGCCACUGAUGGGUAACAUAGUAGUAAUUCAAAAAAAAAUCCUACGUCAUACUAAGAUCUAUCUAGGAGAAACCAGCAACGAGAGAAGUUGUAGAGCAUAUUCAUACCUUUGAAUAUCGCUAAGCGGAAGCGUUACUAUGAAGGCGGUUGAUGGAGUCGUACUCGCAAAAAGAUUCCGUUCUAAGCGUCGAACAACAGUGCCUCCAUGUUCAACACACGUGCAACCCAGUGACGUUACCUUCACCUUGAUCCAGCAAGGAGAGAGGAGAAGUUAAGGGAGAGCUCCGGCAGCACGACGGUAUGGUGACGCUGGAGCUGCGUGGUACUCCGGCACGGCUUCACCACGCGCUACGGAGGAGGAGGAGGAGGAAGAGCAGUGUUGUGUCGAGGGAGGAAGAAACUUGUGUGUCUUGCAGCCCCAAACCCUUACAUAUAUAUAGGAGGAGGAGGAGGAGGGCCAGCCAUCCUAGGGUUUCCCCUAGGUGGUGCGGCGGCCAAUAGGAGGAGGGGCGGCGCCCUAGGGGGUGGCUUGCCACCCAAGGCAGCCACCAGGCCCUAGGGUUUGCUGCCCUAGGCGCCUUGGGGCCUUGGUGGGUGGCGCACCAGCCCAUCUAGGGGUUGGUUCCCAUCCACUUUUGGCCCACGUGGCCCUUCGGGCGUGGUGGACCCCGGAACCCUUCCCGGUGGUCCACGUACAAUACCGAUGAUCUCCGAACAUUUCCGGCGAUCAAAUCUCCGCUUCCUAUAUAUGAAUAUGUACCUCCGGACCAUUCCGGAGCUCCUCAUGACGUUCGGGAUCUCAUUCGGGACUCCGAACAACCUUCGGUAACCACAUACUAUUCCCAUUACAACUCUAGCGUCAUCGUACCUUAAGUGUGUAGACCCUACGGGUUCGGGAACCAUGCAGACAUGACUGAGACACCUCUCCGGUUAAUAACCAAUUGCGGGGUAUGGAUAUCCAUGUUGGAUCCCACAUGUUCCACGACGAUCUUAUCGGAUGAACCAUGUUGUCGGGGAUUCAAUCAAUCCUGUAUGCAAUUCCCUUUGUCUAUCGGUAUAUAACUUGCCCGAGAUUCGAUCGUCGGUAUCCCUAUACCUUGUUCAAUCUCGUUACCGGCAAGUCUCUUUACUCGUUCCGUAACACAUCAUCAUGUGGCUAACCCCUUAGUCACAUUGAGCUCAUUAUGAUGAUGCAUUACCGAGUGGGCCCAGAGAUACCUCUCCGUCACACGGAGCGACAAAUCCUAGUCUCGAUUCGUACCAACCCAACAAACACUUUCGGAGAUACCUAUAGUGCACCUUUAUAAUCACCCAGUUACGUUGUGAUGUUUCAUACACCCAAAGGACUCCUACGGUAUCCUGGAGUUGCACAAUCUCAUGGUCUAAGGAAAUGAUACUUGACAUUAGAAAAGCUUUAGCACACGAACAAUACGAUCUAGUGAUAUGCUUAGGAUUGGGUCUUGUCCAUCACAUCAUUCUCCUAAUGAUGUGAUCCCGUUAUCAAUGACAUCCAAUCUCCAUGAUCAGGAAACCAUGACCAUCUAUUGAUCAACGGGCUAGCCAAGUAGAGGCUCACUAGGGAUACACUGUGUUCUAUGUAUUCAUACAUGUAUUACAGUUUCCGGUUAAUACAAUUAUAGCAUGAAUAAUAGACAAUUAUGAUGAACUGGGAAAUAUAAUAAUAACCACUUUAUUGUUGCCUCUAGGGCAUAUUUCCAACAAACAUUUCCUGUUGUUUUGGUUCACUUUUCACCUACAUUGGUUAGUCAUGCAAGGAAGACUAUAAUAUAUGCAAAUGACAAGAGUGAAUGAAUUCAACAAAUGAUUGUCAAGGAUAUGAUAUUGUUGUCAUCUGCCUUCAUCUCCGAAGAAGGGGUUGUUGAUACUUGGCCAUGUCAAGAUUGAUUUUGAUGUGAGUUGUUUGCAAUCUUGUGGUGUGUAGUUCUUCCAAGUACCUCCAAAAGGGUUAGAUGCAAUACAAGGGAGCAUAGUUUUCCAAGAUAUAAUAUAGUCAUAUCAAUAACAUGAUGGAAUAGUCAAUCAAGCUCAUGCCCUUGUAUGCAUUCGAGUGAGUCUAGCUCAAGCUUGAAGCAUCAAUGAUGUUCAACUCACUCCUCAAAUGACAAAACACUUUCUCAUCAAGUGGUUUGGUAAAUAUAUCAGCUAAUUGUUUGUCAAUACGAACUUGCUUUUGAUCUAUAUCUCCUUUACCAACAUGAUCACGAAUGAAAUGAUGUCACACUUGAAUAUGUUUUGUUCGAGAAUGUUGCACACGAUUAUAGGCAAUUUAAUAGAACUUUCAUUGUCACAUAGCAAUAAAACUUUUCUAACAUGAAUGCCAUGAUCCUUAAUAUUUCGAGUCAUCCAUAGUAAUUGCGCACAACAUGAUCAUGCGACAAUGUAUUCCACUUCGGAAGUAGAUAAUCAUACCGAGUUUUGUUUCUUGGAUGAACAAGACACAAGAGAUCUCCUAGGAAAUUGAUAUGUACCAUAGGUGGAUUUUCUAUCUACCUUGUCUCUGGCAUAGUCCGAGUCAGAAUAGCCAACAAGAUUAAAAGAAGAUCCCUUGGGAUACCAUAUGCCAAAGUUUUGUGUAUGUAUCAGGUAUCUCACUAUUAUUUUCACAGUCAAUAGAUGACACUCUUUAGGUGCCGCUUGAUAUCGGGCACACAUGCAAACACUCAACAUGAUGCCAGGACGAGAGGCACAUAGAUAUAGCAAUGACCCAAUCAUUGAUCGAUAAACCUUUUGAUCAACUCAUUUGUCAUCCUUAGUGAGGUAAACAUGCCCACUAGUUGGCAUGGGGGUUCUUGUACCUUUGCACUAUUGCAUGUUGAACUUCUUGAUUAAGUCCUUGGUGUACUUUGUUUUAGAGAUAAACAUACCCUCUCUCGAUUGUCUGAUUUGCAAACCAAGGAAGAAUUUCAGCUCACUCAUCAUAGACAUCUCAUACUUCUCUCACAUCAACCUUCCAAAUUUCUCACUAAAAUGUGGCUUAGUAGAACCAAAGAUAAUAUCAUCCACAUAUAUUUGGCACACAAAUAGUUCUCCAUUAACUCUUUUAGUAAAUAAGGUUGUGUCAAUUUUACCAAUCUCAAAACCCUUUUCAAUGAGAAACUUUGUUAGGCAUUUGUACCAAGCUCUAGGGGCUUGUUUAAGACCAUAUAAAGCUUUAUGAAGUUUGUAAACAUGAUUAGGUUUCUUAGGGUUCACAAAGCUGGGAGGUUGUUUAACAUAAACUUCCUCCUCAAUUUCACCAGUUAGAAAAGCACUUUUGAUAUACAUUUGGUAAAGAGUAAUAUCAUGGUGAUUGGCAUAAGCGAGAAGAAUGUGAAUGGCUGCAAGUCUAGCAACGGGGGCAUACGGCUCACCAUAGUCCAUACCUUCGACUUGCGUGUAUCCUUGGGCUACGAGAUGUGUCUUGUUGUGUAUGACUUGUCCAUCUUCAUCUUGCUUGUUUCGAAACACCCAUCUUGUACCGAUAAUGUUGUGCUCUUCUUUGGGCUUCUCAACGAGUGUCCGCGCUUUGUUCCUCUCAAAGUUGUGUAGCUCUUCGUGCAUGGCAUUCACCCAAUCCAGGUCUUGAAGGGCUUCUUCAACCUUCAUAGGAUCAAUGCUAGAGAUGAAAGAAUAAUGCUCACAAAAGUUAGCUAAACAAGAUUUAGAGUGAGUUAUUCUCUUGGUUUUUAUGUCACCAUAGAUUUGAUUCAGCGGAUGAUAUAUGUCCACUCUUGCUCGAACUCAUGGUAGCUUCUUCUUGUUGGAUGGUGGAGCUUCUUCAUCAUCAUCGUCUUUCUCGUUGUUGUUGAUGAUGGCAUGUCCUUGAGGUUGUGGUGAGGGAGGUUGAGGUGGAUCAUCAUGAUGCACUUCUUCCUCUUCUUCAUCAUGUCGUGUACCGCUUGUGGAUGCCUCCAUGUCAUUUUGUGGUUCGCCUUGACGCGAAGUAGGGGGUUCCACUUGAGUUGAUGAAGUACUCUCCUUCACCUCCAUGGGACGAAUCUUGCUAAUAGAUAAAUCUUGGAUGGCUUCCGAAGGUUCCUUAUCUUCGACGUCAUUUGGCAAUUGAUCGAAUUGUGAACCAUUAGAUUCAUCAAACUUCACAUCUACCGUCUCUUCAACUUUUCGAGUGAAGUUGUUGUCGACAGUGUAAGUGUAAGAGUUUUAUCCGUAACCGAGUAGGAAACCUUCAUAAGAUUUAGGAGCAAAUUUAGAGAGACGAUGCUUAUGAAGAAUGUAACACUUAGAGACGAAUACCCGAAAGUAUCCAGCUUGGGGUUUGUUACCAGUGAGUAGCUCAUAUGUCGUUUUACCGAGAAGCUUGUGUAGGUAAAGUUGGUUUAUGGCAUGGCAAGCUAUUUCCACGGCUUCUGCCCAAAAGUGUCUUGGCGUCUUGUAUUCAUCAAGCAUCAUUCUGGCCAUCUCUAUGAGAGCCUGGUUCUUCCUCUCAACAACUCCAUUUUGUUGAGGUGUGUACGUCGCCGAGAACUCAUGUGAGAUACCCUCUUAAUCACGAAAAGUAUACACAUUAGUGUUCUUGAACUCCAUUCCUUUGUCACUCCGAUCCUUCUUGAUCUUCACUUCAAACUGAUUUUGAGCUUUUCGAGCGAAGUUCUUGAAGAUCUUUUGUACCUGCGACUUAUCAUCAAGAAAAAAAUACCCAUGUAAAUCUGGAAAAAUCAUCAACAAUGACUAAACCAUAAGAAUUUCCAUCAAGGCUCUUGUAAGCAUUGUGACCAAAGAGAUCCAUGUGAAGUAGCUCGAGUGGCCUUCUUUUAGUCAUGAUGUUCUUCACGGGAUGACUUCCACCGACUUGCUUUCCUGGUUAACAAGCACUAUAAAGUCUAUCUUUGUCAAAGAUAACAUCUUUAACAUCGAGAAUAUGAUCACCUUUGAUAAGUUUGUCAAGAUUAUGCACACCAACAUGUCCUAACUUUCUAUGCCACAGCCAAACUUUAGAAGAUUUAGCAACAAUACAUGUACGAGGUUUGGAUUUCUUAGUGAAAUCGACAAUGUAUAGAUCACCUCUAUGGAAAUCAGUAAAGACGAUGCUAUGAUUGUCGCUACGAAACAGUCGACAGUCAACUUUCGUAAAUAGCACAUUGAAACCAAAGUCUGCUAGUAUAGAUAUGGAAAGAAGAUUGUAGCCAAGGGAUUCAACAAGCAUGACAUUUUGAAUAGAGCUAUCAUAAGAUAAGGACACCUUACCAAGACGAAGUACCUUACCCUUGGAGUUAUCUCCAAAGGUAACAUACCUUCGAGGUCCACGGUUUGGUGUGAGCUCAUGGAACAUGUCUUUAUCUACGGUCAUGUGAUCGGUGCAUCCACUAUCAAGUAUCCACUCCUUUCCUCCGACCAUGUAGUUUCUAAGGUUCGCCAUAAGACUAAGGUUCCUCAUAGUCUUGUCAGACUCAAUAUCAAACUCCUCAUCCUCAUCGUAGUAGCCAUGCUCCACAUAGUCAUCAUCGGAUGAAAUUCCCUCAUCAUAGGAAACAAGAAUUUCAUCAGAAAUUUGACUAUCAAAAUGUUCAAAUUUAUGCAUGCAAAUGGCGUCAACAAUGAUAUUGUUAAUAGUGAUGACAUCUUCUUUAGCACGCAUGAGGCCAUGAAGCUCAAAUAGACAUUUAUCAAAGUUAGGAUCAUUUGGCUUCAUUUUGUGAAAGGCAAUGCAUUUGUGGAUAAUGAUAUCAAGAUUUUACAAGGAAUAAUUUGGAUAUAUUUCUUCUAAGUCUUUCGACAAAGUAUGAGCACACUCAAAGUUCUGCAUUUGAUUAAGCACAUUUCUUGGUAGUCCUCUAAUGAUUAGAUUAAUAGUGUUAAGAUUACCAAGCAUAUUAAUUUCAUCAUCAUGAGAAGGAUGUACGGGAUCAAUGGGAGGCGCAUAGGGAUAUUCAACAUACUUGUGCAAAUGGAAUUCAUCAAAUAUAUCAAGCAUUUCAUAUUUCCAUUGUCUAUAAUACCCACCAUUGAGAAUGGUCACUCUACAACUAAAAAUCCCCGAACUAGUCACAUUCAUCUUCCUCCAACGAUGAUUAAACCAAGGUUUUGGAGACCUUGCUCUCAUACCAGUUGUAGGAUCGAUAGAAGCCGUCUCUAGGGGUGAAUAGACUACUUGACAAGAUUGAAAUCCUAGACUUUUCCCAAUUUUAUGUUUGGCAAAUUUUAGCAAUUCUAACAAGUAGUAAGAAGUAGAGUUUAGGAGAUCAAACGCAAAGAGGUUGACACGACAUAUUUUGGCAUGGUUCCGAUAGGUGGCGCUAUCGUACGUCCAUGUUAGUGGAGACUUGAACCCACAGAGGGUAACAGUUGCGUGAGUCCACAGAGGGCUCCACCCACAAAGGGUCCAUGAACAAGCGGCCUUGUCUGUUCCACCACGGCUUCCAUCCAUGAAGGACUAGCCUCACUCACGGUAGAUCUUCACGAAGUAGGCGAUCUCAUUGCCCUUACAAACAUCUUGGUUCAACUCCACAACACGAAGUAGGAGGCUCCCAAGCGACACCUAACCAAUCUAGGAGGCAGUACCCUCCAAAAGGUAAUAGAUGCGGUAGAACGAUGAACUCCUUGCUCUUGUGCUUCUAAAGAUAGUAUCCUCAACACUCAAUCACUCUCCCAUAGAUUUGGCAUGGGUAGCAGAGAUUGAUUGGGUGGAAAGAAACUUGGGGAGGCUAGAGAUCAAGUUUCAAAUGAUUGGAUUCGAAUAUCCUGAUCUCAACACAUGAGUAGGUGUCUCUCUCUCAGAAAAAUGGAUCUGGCAUUGAAGUGUGUGUUGUGAAUGCUUCCUCUACGAAUGAGAGGUAGGUGGAGGGGUAUAUAUAGGCAGCCCCCAAAAUACAACCAUUACACCUAAAAUGACCAACUCGGUGACACCAAAGUUACAAACUCGAUGGUACCGACUUUCUCAAAAGGUAGCAACUUUUGAAUCUCGGUGGAACCGAUAUACACAACUCGGUAGAAUAGAAAAGGUGACUAACGGUCAGAUGAGACAACUCGGUGACACCGAUACUUAAACUCAGAAAUUCCGAUUUUGUGUACCGAGGCAACAGAAGGUUGGUCACCUAAACUUGGUAGCACCGAUGCAAAAUCGGUUGUACCAAAGUGGUAGGGUUUGGCUAGUUUUCUGUGUGGGAUGAAAAUGGUAGGGCCGAAUCUGGAAACUUGGUGGCACCGAUUUUGAAUAUUUGGCUUGGGAUAGAAGUGUUAUAUGGGAGAAUGACUGAGUAUUUUUGGGGGCUAUCUCUGAGCAGUUGAGAAACCAAUUCAUCUUAAUACAUCAUCCCCUUUUAAUAGUAUUGGCUCUCCAAUGGACUCAAAGUGAUUUCUCACAAAAGUAAAAUGUAGAGUCUUGUAUCUUGAAGCUUGAACCAAUCUUAUUCCUUCCUUGCAUCAAGGGGCUUAUCCUCACAAUCCUUUGGACAAUCCUCUCUAUGGACUAUUCCUGAAAUAUACUAGGUGAAAGUGUUAGUCCAAGAGACAAUGUAUGUUGUCAUGAAUUAUCAAAACCACCAAGGGAGCAUAUGUGCUUUCAGAAAGUACCAUGAUGUCGUCUAGAGGGGGUGAAUAGGCGUUUUAAAAUAUUUUUACGAAUUUGGCUAUAUCCUAAUGUGGAAAUAAAUUAAGCAGAUAUGCUUCAGGCACAAAUCCUAAAUAUAGCAGCGUCAACUAAGUGCACCAAGAACUUAUUCUGAUAAUAUGAGCACGACAAGGAUACUAACAAGCACAAGUAAGUUACACAAACUUACUUGAGCAAUAACACAAUAUAUGGAAGUGUAUGACACAAGUAAGCAAUUCACACUAAACACAAGAUAUAUCAAUAGUAUCAAGUAUGAAUUGCGGGAUAUAAAGCAUAUGCCUAAAUAAUUAAUCUUUACAAGGAAAUAGCCAACACAAUAUAAUGAUGACAAUAAUAUAUAGUGAAUGUACACUCAAUUAUCCAAAGUAAACCGCAAGUAAGGAGUUAGGGUUAAGGAUAACCAAAGUCAUAGAGACGAGGAUGUAUCCCGAUGUUCACUUCCUUGGAGGGAAACUAGUCACCAUUAGAGAGGUGGAUGUAACCACGAAAGCACACCAACGCCAUGAAGGAUCACCCUAUUCUCCUUGAGACAAAACCACGAAGGCGUUGCUCAACCACUAGUGGUAGACCUUGGGGUGGUCUCCAAACACUCACUAAAUUUUCGGGCGUAAUCAUGAUAGUUUGAUUCCUCUCCAAAGAACUCCUACUGCCUAGGACUCUCCAACCUCCAAGAGUAACAAGAUCAAGGGAAACGCUCAAAACUUGCUCAAAUCACGAAUUCCUUUGGUUGAGAGGAGGGGACAGAGACGAUUUAUCUUUUGAUUGGAGCAACACUCAAGAAUCCUCCCAAAUGCACUCGGGAUCUAGGGUUUGAUGUAAGAACAAGAGAGUGAUAGAAAUACUGUUCUUGGGGAUCUUUUCAAUGUGUUUGACCCCCCCUCACUCGGAGUGGGAGAAGGGUAUAUAUAAUAGUAGUGGAUAUGGUCGUUGGAGAUCACUUAAGUUGCGUAGUCUCCGGACGUCCGAACCGAAAACAAGGACCAGACAUCCGAGAGAUCGUCGGUCACCCGGACACUGGAGAGAGGAGGUUGUAAGCACAGUAGCAGAGGAAACAUGGGAAACCCGGAUCGGAAGUCCGGAGAACGUCGGAUGCCCACUGCCACAGUCGUCCGGAGAGGACUGGGCAUCCAUCAAUUUGGUGUUGAUGUGGUGGCACACAAACUCCGGUCACGUACGAACGUCCGGAGGUGAGUUGUCCAGACAAACCGGAAAUCCAAAGAUUUUGCACUAGUGUUGGGGCACCGGAACCCCGGAGAACACCGGACAUCCGGUGAGCUAUGAUUUUUUGGUUGUCUGGAGGUCGCAGGACGUCCUAACAAGGCAGGGGCCAAACAUCAUAGCCAAAGGGAAAAUCUAUACCAUGAAAUUUUCGUGGGUUUUUGAGCAAGUCUUUUGCGAGAACCGGUGAUCCCCUCUUAAUAGUGGGGGAUCCCUAUAAUUGAAGAAUUGUAAGAGAGCUACACUACAUAGCUAUCAUGAAUCCACUCUUGAGUGUAUAUGUUUCUUCCGUGGUCAUCACUCCACACCACUUAUGUUAAAGGAAUUAAUACCUUUGACUCAAUCCUUUCACUUGAGCUUGAUGUUAUUGUUUAUUAUUGGCUCAAGUUGAAGGUAAGACAUUGGUGAAGUCUUCAAGUAGCUCUCCCAUACACAUAUGGGAAGCCUUGAUUUGUAUUCAUCUUCACUUGUCUAUAAUGUGAACAUCCACAAGCUUCAAGCAUCUAAUCCUUCAGGAUGGUUAUCUUGAACUUGCCCUUGUCAGCCAUGAUCAUGAACACUUGAUGUCAUCCUCUCAUGGCCACUUGUAAUCUCUCUCUUGAUGCGAGCACAUGAGAAUAAGCUAACCCUCAUAAACAUAGACAACAAAUAGUAUGGGUUAGUACACAAUGUCCAAAUGACAAUUACUAACCAUACCACAAGAUCUCAUGUGGUACAUCAUUUGCACUUGUGUGAUGACCAGCUUUGAGUUAAAUCUUUGAUCAUCAACUUUGUAAACAUUUUUCUUUGAUCCAUGAUUAAUCUUGAUGUCUUGAAGGCCCUAUUGAUUUCUUCACGAUGCUUCAUUGUUUCAAGAUAUGAUUACCAAUAUAUCAAUACACCAUGACCAUAUCAAGUUUCCCCAUGAAUCUCAUAUUGGCUAUAACUUGCUCGUCUUCAUGAUCCAACAUAGUAUCUUGAGAGGAAGAAUGAAUUUUUUACUUGAAUUACUUGUUUGAAGACAUAAUAAUCCAUGACUAAACAUAUGAGCUCAUCAUGAUUUUAUUUUUGAGGCAUAUGUAGAAUUCUUCUCUUUAACUAUUUUCUCAAGAUUUUGAUCAUAUCGUGUUCUAUUCAAUCACUGAGCUCAUCCUUGACGCAUGCACAACAAUAUGUAUAUGACAUUCAUUUCGCAUUCAUUCGAUCUCCUUCUUGCGUCAUCAUGGAACAAAGAUCCAAUAUUCUUCAUGCAUUGCAAAUGAAACUUUACUUUGAAUGUAUAACUUAAUGCAAACAUUAGUCCAUUACGAUUGUCAUCAGUUACCAAAACCACACAUGGGGACUACAUGCACUUUCAACAACACAUAUGGAUGUUGUCGUCACUGGCAUGAAGCACAACUUUUGUCCAGAGAUUCCCUACACACCUAUGUAGGGGACAUCGUGUACAUCACAUCUACACCAUCAGAUCUAGAAACACGCUAACCAUAAAUAGUCGCCCUCAACACUGAGGCAAGCCAAUCACUAUAACCCUAAUUUUGUUGUCCUCGACACCGAGGCAACCCUAUAAUCACCCUAACCAUAAUUAGUUAUCCUAGGCACUAAGGCAACCCUAUAAUCUUUGAUUCAUUCAUCAGCAAUUGACAGACGCAACCCUAGAAUAACUAAUUCAUUCAUCAACAACUGACAGAGGCAAGCCUACACUACUAGGGAAAAGCCUCGAAGUAGCGCGGGUUAAAGAGAUAGUAAUGGUGUGGGUACCCGCGCUACUACUAGGGUGCUAUAGCUAACUGAAAGUAGUAGUGCGGGUGCCACACAUGCUACUACUAACUAUCUGUAGCGUGUGUCUAUGACCCAUGCUACUUCUAUUAAUUUUGAAAACCAAAAGAAAUCUUGAUCCCGUGCGUGCUAUCAAUGGUGUCCUGGUUCGAUCCAGUGACGGUAGGGGUCGUCGAAGGCGCGGAUGGGCAGCGAGAGAUCAGAUGUGGUGACGACUGUUGGAGAGGGGCCGGAUCCUGGGCAGAGCAUGAUGAUGGUGUGGGGAUCCUCUUUGCGGCCAAGGGAGAGAGCUUCUUGUCAUCCAUGUUGAUGACCUACACAGGCAUGAACAUGAGGGUGAGUAAAACCAGAGGGAUAGAGAGGGGGAAAGUGAGACGAGGGAGAGAGGAAGGAGGUGGAGGGAGCAUCGGGGUUGGUCGUCAGUGGGGAGGUGCUCUGUCGUGGUGGCAUGGAGGCGCGGGGGAAGAUCGGCGACCUCCUAGACACCAGCGACCCGAGGCAUUAGCCUUGUUAGGCGCCAUGGAGGAGGAGGUGUGAUUGGGCAGGAGCGCCAUGGGAGAGCCUAGGGAGAGAGGGGUAGAGUGACAGGAGAUAGGAGGGAUUCAGGGGAGGAUAUGGGGACUUCAGGGCUAUUUACCUACCUUGUACUAAGUUGUAGUGAGGGGUAUACACCCCUCGCUACUACUAUCAACUUAGUAGUAGCGCGGGUUUAUACCCCUCGCUACUACUAUGGCCUGUCCCGAGAGGCACGGUAGAGACCACUUAAUAGUAGCGAGGGGUAAACCCCUCGCUACUACUAUGGCCUAUCCUGAGAGGCACGAUAGAGACAACUUAGUAGUAGCGAGGGGAAUAAACCCAUCGCUACUACUAUCAACUUGCUAGUAGCAUUGGUUUAUACCCCUCGCUACUACUAAUUAACACUAGCGCGACCCAUUUACCCCUCGCUACUACUAAGCAUAUAUCUAUAAGGUAUUUCAUAGUAGUGCUAGAUCAUCAAUUCAUUUACCAAAAACCCAUAAUCAACAAUUCGAUGAUCCAUUGACAACUGCAUUAAUGUCGCAACCAAGCCGGUAACGUUUGUGAGACGUGAGUCGUUACCCACGUGUCAUUUAAGUAUAUAACCCUUGUAGGCGGUCCCCACAUUAAUUCAUGCAUCAAAUUCCUAAGCGCGCCUUUAGUGGUUUUUGUUUGAUCAUUACGCGUGGGCUCGUACUUUUUCCUAAAAAGGGAAACUGAUGUUUUCUCUGAUUUCAGCCACGGUUGUGGUGAUUUUAUGCUAAUUACUAUACAAAAGAUGGCCUUGCCAUUUUUUGUCGUAUGGACAUGAUUCAACAUUCCUACUUAUGGGUGAUAAAAGUGCGAUAAGUCACAAAUUUAUUCUUCACCUCUUUGAAACAGUGUGUUAUGAAAAUUAAUUUUCUAUAAGGCAGUGAUUUUUGUUUUAGGUUUUCAUACAUUUCAUAUGAUAUAUACUCCAUUCCAUAAUACUAAUCCAUUCCAAAAUACUUAAUGUUCUAGAUUUUCCAUAGGUCAAAUUUGCCUAAAUUUGACCAACUCUAUAAAAACAUGUGAAGAUCUACAACAUCGAACACAUAACGAAAAUAUACUACUUCAUAUAAAGAAACUAAUGAUACUACUUUGGCGUUCUAUAAUAAGUAUGUUUUUCUGUAGUUUUGGUCAAAUUUAAACAUGUUUGAGUUGAGACAAAUCCAGAACUUCAAUUAUUUUGAAACGGAGGUAGUACAACACGGUCAUCACAUGCAAAAAAGGGGUGUUACCCUACAAAUGUAUGGGCAUUCCCAUUUAACAAAGUGACUAGAUUAUUCUACUGCUUGGUAAGAUGAUAUCCUUUGAGGCAAGCUGAUAAUUCAACUCUUCUUCGAGAAGUUGUUGGACUUCCAAAGCAAAGGACUCACCUUUAGGCUCAAGUUAUCAACAGUUUCUAUGGACAUAAAAGAUUACACAGUCUGUUCAACCGGUAUGGGCCCAAGCCAAUCAAGCUUUAUCACUUAGGGCCCAAGCCCAUGUGGGCGUGCUGACCUAGAAGGGGGCAUCAAGUCCUCCCAUUCCCAAGAGAGCCACCACACACACGCGCCCAAAAAGCCUAUGGAUGGGGUGAGCCCGCGAUUCGACAUGGUAUCACACGCAUGCGAGGUGCUCGGGGCGACAACGACGGUGGCCUAGUCGACAGUGGAUAGGGUGAGCCCGCAUAUGGAUGGUCAUGGUGGUUUGGGCACGCACGCAUGUGUGGCUGAGCGUCACGACGGCUAGCAGGGCGCUGUGAGAGGAGUUGCGCGGAUGACUGCGACUAGUUGAUUUCGGCGAGAUGGAGGCAGCGAGAUUUGUAGGAGAGGAAAGAAUAAAGGAGUUGUUGGGCUGCACCAAUGGAGAGAAUAAGGGUCCUACUGAUGCUGCUCGUGCUUGAGUACUGCUGUUGGAGCAGAGGAGGUGUGGCUGGUUGCGGUUGCUGAUUGAUGCAAAAUGGUAAAGGAAGGAGAGGUGACAAACUGUUGUUGUUUGUAUAGGAGAGGAAGGUCAUGCUAGAAGGAAGGUUGUGGAGGUUGCUCAUUGCUUCUUGUUGCUUGGUGCUUGUUGUGCUGCGCUGAAUUGCUACUGUUGCCUUGUUGUGUCUAGGAGGAAGAAGGGGUUGUUGUUUGGAGAGGAAGAAGUGUUCGUGUUGUGUUGCUGUUGUUUGUUGAAGGUGAAGGGGGCAACUACUAGAGUUGCUACUGAGUUGUUGGUUUUGCUGCUGCUGAAAGUGAAUGAGGUGUUUUGUGUUGGAGUUGUUGUUGUUCAUUGUAGAGGAGAAGGACUUGAGGGGGAGAUCAUCAUGCUCAAGGAGAUGUUCUUCCUGAUGGAGCAGGCGGUCAACAAGGGAUGUCGUCUUGUGACCGCCGAGGCGCAUUUUGCAUGAGACGAUGGUGUUGCUGGCAGCGCCAAGAAAGUUGUUGUUCUCGAGGAGAUGGGUGAUACAAUAGUCGCGGUUGGUACUCAUCAUGCAGUCAAGGAGUAUCUAGGGAAUGAUGACAUGAUAAGGGGUUAUGUCGAGCCAGAGAAGAAUGGUGAGGACGGUGUAGAGACGACCAGUUCAGGGUAAGAGAAGGAGUACAUCGUGACUGUAGAAGAGGUUGAGAGGAUUAAGCAGGAAUUUGAAAGCCUCAAGAGAAAGGUGGAGGAAAUUCAAGCUAACAAGGAAACAACCGAGAGGUGACACAUGAGAAGGAUGCUUAGACAGUUAAGUUGAGGGCUGAGUUUGAAGGAGCUUCAUGCUUUCAUAUCACAACUCCAAACUACAUGCUUGAAUGCUCAUUGUGGAGACUUUGCUCAUUGGACAUCUACUGAUGAAGAUAAUCCAGAAAAGGAAUCUAUUGUUGCCAAUGAGAAUGGUCUAGAAUGGGUUCUAGACUCUCGAGCAUCUAGGCAUGUUGUGAGCAAAUCAUGCAUGUUCAAGUCUUACAAUAAGCAUCCUCCUUCUCACAUGGGCACUAUACAAAUUGUUGAUGGCACAAAACAACUUGUCAUUGGGUUUGGUACACUAAAGUGCACUCCGACCAUCUCCCUAUCCUUGGUUUUACAUGUUCCAUCUUUUCAUGUCAAUUUGGUUUCUUUCAAUGCUCUCAUUGAUCAAAUAUACUGUCAUAUGAUCCUUAACAAAUUCGGCUGCAAGAUUCAGGGGCGACAAACAAUGCACACAGCCAGGACUAGCACCGGUCGUAGGGGGCUCUGGUAUGUGGAUCAGGGGGUGCAACCAUACUUGGUUUGUGUUGCGAUCAUGGAGGACAAGGAGAAGCAGGCGAUGAUCCAUCACUAUAGGAUGGAACAUGUCUCGUUUGGUAAGAUGAGUAGAAUAUUUUCGGAUGUUAUGUGUGGAAUAGGCAAGGGCAAGAUGACAUGUGAUGCUUGCGAAUGUGCAAAACACACAAGAGCUACAUAUGUGAGUAAGGGGCUUAGGAGCAUAUCUCCUUUUAUGCUCAUUCAUUGGAUGCACGGAAGAACCUAGUCGUGUCAAUGAAUGGAAUGGAGCACUUUGUUACCUUUAUUGACUGUUAUACUCGUAUGACUUGGAUUUAUUUAAUGCGUCACAAGGAUUACGUGUUCAACUGUUUCCAGUAUUUUCAUGCCUUGGUAAAGAACCAGUUUAAGGUGAAGGUGAUCAGGACUAACAAUGGCACAGAGUAUGUGAACAAAACCUUUGGAGCCUUCUUGUUUGACCAAGGUUUUUUUCAUCAAAAUUCUUGUUCGGGCACCCCCCCCCCUAGAAUGGAGUGGCAGAAAGGAAGAAUCAACAUGUUCUUGAGAUUGCUCGGUCGUUGAUGUUUACCAUGAAUGUGCCCAAGUUCUUGUGGAGUGAAGCAGCUAUGGAAGCCACAUACGUGAUCAACCGUACGCCUUCAAGGAUACUCGGCAUGAAAUCACCAUGUGAAAUCCUAUUUGGAGAAAAUAAGUUUGUUUUUCUCCAAGGUUGUUUGGAAGUACAUGCUUUGUUCGUGAUCACCGGCCUUCUGUUGGGAAGCUUGAUCCGCUGGCAGUGAAGUGUGUUUUUCUGGGCUAUGCUUCGAGUCAGCAGGGGUACAAAUGUUGGUGUCCCUCCGACAAACACCGAUCUAUAAGUAUGGUGUCACUUUCAGGGAGUGAGAGCCAUUCUAUGGUGGAUCUACAUACCUAAGUAUGUUGUUUGCAGAGCAUGACCACUUGCACUCUGUGCAGGAUGGUCAAGAGGGGAGAAGGGUGUAUCUCAUUCUCAAGAUGAUUCUGUGGGCACAAACACUAAUGAGGAUGUACAUGUUCAAGUCCAGCCAAUUGUGGGUACAAUUCCGGUUGGUAUUCUCACUGAUGGUGAUGUGCAGGUCCAGGUUCACGCAAUAGUGGGUUCUGUUGGGGAAUGUAGUAAUAAUUCAAAAAAAAAUCCUACAUCACACCAAGAUCAAACUAGGAGAAACCAGCAACGAGAGAGAAAGAGCAUCUUCGUAUUGUUGAAGAUCGCAAAGCAGAAGCAUUACUAUGAACGUGGUCGAUGGAGUCAUACUCGCGGCGAUCCGAUCCAAACACCGAUCGUUCGGUCUCUCCGCGUUCAACACACCUAUAGCCCGAGGACGUAUCCUCCUUCUUGAUCCAGCAAGAGUGAAGGAGAAGUUGAGGGACAGCUCCGGCAGCACGACGGCAUGGUCUCGAUGGAGCUUGUGGUUCCCGGCAGGGCUUCGCCAAGCACCACGGAGGAGGAGAGGUGGAGAGGUAGGGCUGCGCCAAGGGGUGGUGAUCAAGGUGUGUGCAGCCCUCCCAAAACCCUCUUUAUUUCUAGGAGGGAGGGAGAGGGAGACGGCCACCCUAGGGUUCCCCCUAGGAGGGGCGGCGUGUAACGCCCCGGACACACCCGCCGGCGGUCGAACUACUCCAAGCUGAGCACGCUUAACCUGAGAGUUCUGUUCGAAUGGGCUCCCGAAAAAGAAGGAAUUCCUUAUUGAUAUGAGUAGUCUAUCAUCCCAAAUAUGCCAGGCUAUCACACGGCGGCAGCCCUGUGAGGAGAGAGCGGCGGCGCCGUAGGGGUGGGUUGCCACCCAAGGCGGUGGGUGGUAGCCCCAUGCCCUAGGGUUUACCCCUAGGCCCCUUGGUUCCCUUCCACUUUAGGCCCGUGCAGCCCUCCGAGACAGGUGGACCCUCCCGGUGGACCCCUAGUAUCCUUUUGGUGGUCCCAGUACAAUACCGAUAAACCCCGAAACCUUUCCGGUGACCGAAACUGGACUUCCCAUAUAUAAAUAUUUACCUAUGGACCAUUCCGGAACUCCUCGUGACGUCUGGGAUCUCAUCCGGGACUCCUAACAACCUUAGGUAACCACACAUACAAUUCCCAUUACAACUCUAGCGUCACCGCACCUUAAGUGUGUAGACCCUACGGGUUCAGGAACCAUGGAGACAUGACUGAGACAUAUCUUCGGCCAAUAACCCAUAGCGGGAUCUGGAUACCCAUGUUGGAUCCCACGUGUUCCACGAUAAUCGCAUCGGAUGAACCACGAUGUCGAGGAUUCACUCAAUCAUGUAUGCAAUUCCCUUUGUCUACCGGUAUGAUACUUGCCCGAGAUUCGAUCGUCGGUAUCCAUAUACCUUGUUCAAUCUCAUUACCGGCAAGUCUCUUUACUCGUUCGAUAACGCAUGAUCCUGUGGCUAACUCCUUAGUCACAUUGAGCUCAUUAUGAUGAUGCAUUACCGAGUGGGCCCAAAGAUACCUCUCCGUCACACGAAGCGACAAAUCCCAGUCUCGAUUCAUACCAACCCAACAGACACUUUCCGAGAUACAUGUAGUGUGACUUUAUAAUCACCCAGUUACGUUGUGACGUUUGAUACACCCAAAGCACUCCUACAGUAUCCGUGAGUUGCACAAUCUCAUGGUUUAUGGAAAUGAUACUCAACAUUAUAAAAGCUCUAGCAGACGAACUACACGAUCUUGUGCUAUGCUUAGGAUUAGGUCUUGUCCAUCACAUCAUUCUCCUAAUGAUGUGAUCCUGUUAUCAAUGACAUCUAAUGUCCAUGGCCAGGAAACCAUGACCAUCUAUUGAUCAACGAGCUAGCCAAUUACUAGAGGCUCACUAGGGACAUGUUGUGGUCUAUGUAUUCACACAUGUAUUACGGUUUCCGGUUAUUAUAAUUAUAGCAUGAACAAUGGACAAUUAUCAUGAACAAGGAAAUAUAAUAGUAACCAUUUUAUUAUUGCCUCUAGGGCAUACUUCCAACAGGUUCCACUCAGAUUAGUAAUCUCUGGCUCCCUGUUUGAGAACGGUGGCAGGAGAUUCCCCUAGUGUACUCUCGACGACAGCCACAAGUGCAUAGCUCAUUUGACACACGUGUGAUAUAUUCACGGCGGCAGCCACAAGUGGAGAGGGAACAGUAGGGCAGUGAUGCAAGCACAUCUGACACAGUGUAACCGCCCACUGCAUUGCAAAAGGGGACACGUGAAGCGGCACAGAAGGCUUUACCACGAGACAUUUUUAUGAUCAUGACAUUGGAAAUUUUGUGUCGUAUGAGGCCUUUUAUCCUUCCUAUAGAGCGUUUGUUGCCUCUCUUCAAAUUGUGUCAAUCCAAAAGGGUUGGAAGGCCACAAAGCAAGAUGUGAAGUGGCAUGAAGCGACGAUAGAAGAAUUGGAAACAUUGGGUGAAAAUAAGACGUGGGUGCUAACCACAUUGCCAACAGAAAAGAAAGUAGCGAGUUGUGAGUGGAUGUAUACAAUGAAGAAAAAUCAUGAGUGUAAGGUGGAACGGUAUAAGGCCACGUUGAUCGCCAGAGGAUGUAGUCAAACUAAUAGAGUUGACUAUGACAAGAGGUUUGCUCCUGUGGCAAACAUGAAAACAGUAAGGAUAUUGGUUUCCUGUACUGCAACCUUUUGGUGGAAGUUGCAUCAACUAGAUGUCAAGAAUGCCUUCUUGCAUGGUGAGUUGCAGGAAGAAGUGUACAUGGAGAUACCAUCAGGUUUUGGUACUCUAGAGACCACUGGAAAGGUAUGCAGACUGAAGAAAUCCUUGUACAGAUUGAAGCAAUCACCGAGGGCAUGGUUUGAUAGAUUCAGGCGUGUUGUUCGUGGUAUGGGGUAUGCUUAGUGUAACGUUGACCACACGAUGUUCUACACACAGUCCCAUUGGAAGAUCAUCAUUCUUGCAGUUUAUGUGAAUGACAUUAUCAUCACUAGAGAUGAUAAGGAGGACAUAGAGAGAUUGAAGGAGUGUCUGAGCGAGGAGUUUGAGGUAAAGUAUUUGGGUAACCUAAAAUACUUCCUUGGCAUUGAAGUGGUCUGGACAGAGAAGGGAAUAUCUUUGUGCCAACGUAAAUACACCUUAGAUCUUUGAGUGACAUGGGUGUGAUGGGAUGUCGUGCAACCCCUACUCUGGUUGAACAAAAUCACCAAGUGAUGUCACAAUUAGAAGAGUUGGUGAACAAGGAAGAUUACCAUAAACUGUUGGGAGGUUAUUGUACUUGUAUCAUACCAGGCCUGACAUUACGUAUGUCGUGGGUGUGGUGAGCAAAUACAUGCAUGAAUCAAGGAGUGAGCAUCUUGAUAUUGUGCCCAAAAUUAUGAGAUACUUUAAGGGGACUCCGGGUAAAGGGUUGUGGUUUGUGAAGAGUGGACAUCUUGAGGUGGAUGGCUAUAGUGACUCAGUUGUCAAGAUUAUAGAAGAUCAACUUCUGGCUACUUUGUGUUUGUGGGAGGAAAUUUGGUGUCAUGAAGAAACAAGAAAUAGAUGGUUGUGUCUAGAUCAACAUUAGAAGCUGAAUAUAGAGCAGUAUCUCAAGGGUUGUGUGAGAUGCUCUGGGUUAAGUACCUACUGAGCGAGUUAAGACUUCUGAGGAAGAGACCCUUGAAGGUGUGGUGUGACAAUCAGCCAGCUAUAGCCAUUGCUAAUAAACCAGUUCAACAUGAUAGGACAAAGCACAUGGAAAUUGAUCGCUUCUUCAUUAAGGAGAGACUUGAUGCUAGGAGCCUGGGAUCAUCAUCCUUAAUCAUGUCAGCUCUCGACAGCAGUUUACAGAUUGCUUGACAAAGGGACUCAGAACAAAGAAAUGUAACUUGUUGGAAAUAUGAGCAAUUUACCAAAGGAUUUUAUUAACAAAAAAUAUAGGGAAAACAUGACUAACAUAAAAUAGAUGAAACAAGGCAGGCAAUAUAGAGAUGAGACGACAAAAGACAUGUGCACAUAUGAUCUAAAAGAGAACAUGUAUAGAGUCGUUCUAUGUACACAAAACAUCAUAUGAAAGGAUGAACAGAAAUGAAACAUAUCUAGAAGUGAAACUAGAGCAAGAAGUUGUGGCACGAACUCAAAGAAAAGGAACGCGAGCAUGUACUAAGUUGCAGCAGCAGUAGGGUUGGUGUUGGCGUUGUCGUUGGCCAUGUUACCGAAAAGGUGGUCGACAUCGAGGAAGAAGUCGUCGUCCGGGAAGAGAUCGUCGGUGUCCGUGACGGAAGCCAGUAGUCGAGCUGAGCGCUCCCCAAAAACCUUAUCGCCCUUCUCCCGUACAGGACUCGAAGAGACAGAGUUUCAGAGGCCUACUGUCCCGACAUACGGUGCACGCCGCAAGUCGGGAUGGGGAAGAACGUAGCAGCAGCACAGAAAGAUGGAACCGGUGGUGAGAGAAAAUUCUGAUGCGUCUCUCUCGAGAGGAGCGACCUCUCUUUUAUAGGCGCAAGAGAAGGAGGCGAGAGGCCAGCGACGGGAGCCGAAGAGAACGAUGGAGACGAAACGAACAGACAGCAGACGAUGGGUGCAACGUUCGUGUUCAAAAUGUUCAUCUUUGGAGUGACCUUUCGUAUACCAAUCGUGUGUGGCAAAAAAUUAGUUCAGCUCAACUCAUUACCGCAACCCGCGGCGCGUCGUGACGAGGCGAGGUGGGCGGCGGCGGAGGAGGAGCGCCCUUGUAUGUCUCUCUUGUUCUCAAGCUCAUACAUGUGUGGAAACAUCCCCCCUUAUAAGGAGGUCCAACUCCCACUAAACUAGCAAUGUGGGACUAAACAUUUCCACCUCUUGCCUUGCACAAAUGGGUUGCGUGGGCCUCUAGGAUUUAUUAGGAAUUUCUGAAAUUACAUAUUGGGUGGCCCAAAAGUAAAUAAAAUUCCAGCAAUCCCCCACCAGAUCCGAGAGGCACACAAAAUUUGCCUUUGGUUCCAAAACACUGUUUUAUAUACCGGUACUGCAGUGGAGACUGUUAAGUUGAACUUCCACCUAGAGCUCUAUGCUACACUAGGUAGCAACUUGAACAGUGGACUAGGCCUUGAACUGCAAGUUUUCCGCGAAUCUAGCUUCAUACAGAGCCUUGACCGAUACUAGGCUACUGUGAGACUUCCCCGCAGGCGGAGCUUAUGCGUCAUACUCCGAGACCUUUCAUGAGUUUAGUAGAGAGCACCCUACUCUCAUAGAUUGCAACGUUAACAAUCAGACUCAUAUAGGUAUGUUCUUCAAAAGAUGUUUUGCAUGACAACAUCUCUGCUUGAAUAAGCCACUUAGAACAUAUUAAGAUGUACAUCAACCUGCCAUGCAGUUUAGGAAAGUAUUGCAUGUUCAUGGAGUGGUAUUAUCAAUGAUAAGGAUACUUUCCUCUCAGUUGACCAACAACUUGUCUUCCACAUCUAAUUCACGGGAUCUCCGAUCACAAAGAAUAGGUUACCACUGUGAACAACUCAAAUUGUGGGUCUCAUACCCAUCUCCAUCGAUGCAUUAUCUAUCACAUUACGUGAUAGACCCUUAGUAAAAGGAUAUGCCAGACUUUUAGAUGUUUCGAUAUAAUCCAAUGCAAUAACUCCGGAGUUUCUCAUUUUCCUGACAGAUUUUAACCUUCUCUUAACGUGUCUUGAUGACUUCAUGUUAUCCUUUGAGCUACUCACUUUCGUGAUCACGGUUUGAUUGUCGCAGUUCAUAAGCAUACCUGGUAUAGGUUUCUCGACAAUCGACAAGUCGCUCAAGAGCCGACGAAGCCAAUCUGCUUCGACCGUAGCUGUAUCUAGUGUUGUGAGUUAUGCUUCCAUUGUUGACCUUGUUAAGAUCGUUUGCUUGCAAGACUUCCAAGAAACAAUGCCACCUCCAUGAGUGAAUACAUAUCCGCUCGUGGCCUUUAUCUCAUCAGCAUCAGAGAUCCAGUUUGAAUCACUUUACCCUUCAAGCACCUUUGGGUGUCCAGUAUAGUGAAUUCCAUAAUUUGUAGUGCCUUUCAGAUAACGCAAAACUCUCUCUAGAGCUUUCCAAUGCACAUCUCCUGGUUUUGAGACAAACCGACUCAGUUUGCUAACAGCAAAAGAGAUGUCAGGUCUUGUACCACUGGCUAAGUACAUAAGCGAGCCAAUAAUCUGAGAAUAUUUCAAUUGGUCUCUAGCAAUUCUUCGAUUCUUUCUAAGCAGCACGCUGGCAUCAUAUGGUGUGGGAGAGGCCUUGCAGUCACUAUAUCCAAAGCGACUCAGGAUCUUUCCCACAUAUUGAGAUUGAAGCAACGAAAUCCCACCAUCAUCGUCUCUCGACAACUUGAUGUUCAGAAUGACAUGAGCCACUCCUAAAUCCUUCAUCUCAAAAUAGUGAGAUAGGAAAUCCUUGACCUCCUUAAUAACAUUCAGAUUUGUUCCGAAAAUGAGUAUGUCAUCAACAUACAAGAAAAGGAUAAUUCGCUCGCCCCCACCUUGGCGAUAGUACACGCAUUUAUCAGCUUCAUUUACAACAAAGCAUGCAGCUGUUAAAGUUCUUUCAAACUUCUCAUGCUACUACUUGGGUGCUUGCUUAAGUCCAUAUAAAGACUUCAGCAACUUGCACACUUCUCCUUCCUCGCCAUCUACUAUAAACCCAUCUGGUUGUUCCAUGUAAAUUUCCUCAUCCAACUCUCCAUUUAGGAAAGCAGUCUUAACAUCCAUUUGAUGAACGAGAAGACCAUGUGAGGCGGCUAGUGAAGGUAGUACUCGAAUAGUGGUCAGUCAAGCCACAGGUUAGUAUGUAUCAAAGAAGUCUUCACCUUCCUUUUGGGUAUAACCCUUAGCCAUGAGUCGUGCCUUGUACUUCUCGAUAGUACCAUCAGGCCUAAGCUUCUUCUUGAAUACCCAUUUGUAUCCUAUAGGUUUGCACCCAUAAGGACGAUCAGUGAUCUCCCAAGUUUCAUUUGUCAAGAUGGAAUCCAUCUCACUACGGACUGCUUCCUUCUAGUAGUCAGCAUCUUCAGACGCAUAAACCUCUGAAAUAGAACUAGGAGUGUCAUCUAUGAGAUACACAAGAAAAUCAUCACCAAAGGACUUUGCAGUCCUCUGUCUCUUGCUCCUGGUAGAAACUUCAUUGUUCUCCUCCACAGUAUUUUCAAAAAUUUCCAUAGAAAUGAUAGGUUCGGUAAUUGUAACUAAUUCAUGAUUCGAUGAAUUAGGCAUCUCCUGGUUAGAUGAGGUAGCCAUAUCCUUCAUGGGAAAGAUAUCUUCGAAGAAAGUCGCAUCAUUCGACUCCAUGAUUGUACCGACAUGCAUGUCAGAUACCUCAGAUUUUACAACCAAGAAUCUAUACCCAAUGCUAUGAAAAGCAUAUCCCAGGAAAACACAAUCCACAGUUUUUUGGUCCUAGGUUCGUAGAUAAGAGAGUUUUAACCUGUUCUUCUCACAUUCCUCGAAUGGAGUUAUCUCUUUGUUCUUUGUGGGAACUCUGUUUAGGACAUGACAUGCAGUCAAUAUCGCCUCCCCCCCACCAUGCCUUGGAGAGACCCGAUGUGUCUAACAAAAGCGUUAACCAAAUCAGUUAGAGUACCAUUCUUUCUUUCGGCUACUCCAUUUGACUGAGGUGAAUAGGGAGGCGUCCUCUCAUGGAUUAUACCAUGUUCCGCACAAAAAGAAUCAAAUUCAUUUGAGAAAUACUCUCCACCACGAUCAGACCUAAGCCUCUUGAUCUUUCGAUCAAGUUGGUUUUCCGCUUCAGCUUUAUAGGUCUUGAAAAAGUUUAAAGCCUCAUCCUUAGAUUUUAGAAGAUACACUUGGCAGUAUCUAGUGGAGUCAUCAAUUAACGUCAUGAAAUAUUUCUUUCUACCUUUUGUCAAAAUACCAUUCAUUUCACAUAGAUCUGAAUGUAUGAGCUCUAGUAGUGCAAGGUUUCUUGUUUCGGCAGUCGUGUGAGACUUACGAGGCUGCUUGGCUUGCACACAAACUUGACACUUAGAUCCCUUGACGAUGGUGAAACUAGGGAUUGAGUUCAAUUUGGCUAGUCGCGACAUGCAACCAAAAUUAACAUGACAGAGACGUGAAUGCCAAACAUUUGAUUCACUAUUGUUGCAAACAUGAUUAACAACUUUAUUGCAAACAUCAGCCAAGGAUAAACGGAAUAGGCCUCCUGACUCAUAGCCUUUACCAACAAAAGUUCCAUACUUGGAUAUUACAAAUUUAUUCGACACAAAGACAAGCUUGUAGCCAUCUCUACACAAAUGAGAUCCGCUAACAAGAUUUUUAUUCACGGAGGGGACAUAAUGCACGUUCUUGAGCCGCAUGACCUUCCCCGAAGUAAACUUCAGAUCGACCGUGCCAACACCACGAACAGAAGCACUUGAACCGUUGCCCAUCAGCACGGUGGAAGUCCCUGCGGACUCAUAAGACGAAAACAUGGAAAUAUCACCGCAUACAUGCACAUUAGCACCCGUGUCAAUCAACCAAUCGGGAAAAUGACAUACUGAAAGGCUAGUGGGAAAUAUACCAUACUAGCAUCCUCCACAUCAGUGUCACCAAUGACAACAUUAGCGGUCUUGCCACCUUUCCCAUGUUGACGCUUGUCAGGGCAGUUAGGUGCCCAAUGAUCAGGAUCUCCGCACACAUGACAAACACCUUUCUUCUUGUCAUUCUUCUUCUUGAAGUUGGUGUGUUGUACAGCCUUGUUCUUCCCAUCGAACUUUGCUUUACCAUCAAACUUGCCCUUGUUCUUGAAAUUGUGGGGCUGGAAGUUUUUCUUAUAUACCAGAUUGGCACUAGAUCCUCCCUCAAUACCUCGAGCACGUGUGUCUUUUGCUCUCGCCUUUUCUUCCACAUCAAGAGUACCUAUGAGAUCCGAACGGAAAACUCCUGCCUCUUAUUCUUUAGUAAGGUAGCAAAGUUCCUCCACGAAGGAGGAAGUUUAGUGAUGAUGCCUCCGGUAACAAACUUGUCCGGUAGCAUGCAAUUGAAGUGUUCAAGUUCUCUUGCAAAUGACUGUAUCUCAUGAGCUUGCUUAACCACGGAGCGCUCUUCAAUCAUCCCGUGGUCAUAGAAUUGUUCCAUGAUGUACAGCUCAGUGCCAGCAUCCGAGACCCCAAACUUGGCCUCGAAUGCAUCCCACAUUUAUUUUCCAUUAUCAAUUGACGCAUAAGCAUCAACUAUGUUCUCACCAAGAACGCUCAAGAGAGCAGCCUUAAACAAGGUAUCCAUUUUCUGGAAAGCUAGUUCCUGUUGAGCAUCAUGACCUCCUUCAGAUUUGCCAAGAGUGACGUCAUAGCAGCUCAUGGUUUGAAACCAUAGAACAGCUCUCACGGGCCACCUCUUAUAGUGGAUACCCUAAAAAAUAGGAGGUCUCAUGGAAGCAGCAAAACCACUCGGGGUAAAUUGCCUAUUAUAAGGUUUUUGGAUUGUUGGAAAUAUGGACAAUUUACCAUAGGAUUUUAUUAAUAGAAAAGAUAGGAAAAACAUGACUAUCAUAAAAUAGAUGAAACAAGGCAGGCAAUAUAGAGAUGAGACAACAAAAGACAUGUGCACAUAUGAUCAAAAAGAGAACAUAUAUAGAGCCGUUCUAUGUACACAAAACAUCAUAUGAAAGGAUGAACAGAAACGGAACAUAUCUAAAAGUGAAACUAGAGCAAGAAGGAACUCAAAGAGAAGGAACACGAAUCUCUUUUAUAGGGGCAAGAGAAGGAGGCGAGAGGGCAGCGACGAGGAGGAACGCGCGUGUAUGUCUCUCUUGUUUUCAAGUUCAUACAUGUGUGGAAACAUCCUUCCUUAUAAGGAGGUCCAACUCCCACUAAACUAGCAAUGUGGGACUAAACAUUUUCACCUCUUGCCUUGCACAAAUGGACUUGUGGGCAUCUAGGAUUUAUUAGGAAAUUCUGAAAUUAUAUAUUUGGCUAGCCCAAAAAUAAAUAAAAUUCCAGCAUAACUUGACAUGUGACAAAAUGGAAAUGAUAGAUAUCUACCAUCCAUCUUGAGGGGAGUGUUGAAGGCCCAAGCCCAUCAAGCUUUAUCACUUAGGGCCCAAGCCCUCGUAUGGGUGCUGACCUAGAAGGGGGCAUCUAGUCCUCCCACUCACAUAAGAGCCACGACAAAGCUAUGGACAGGGUGAGCCCGCGAAUCAAAACAAUCUAAAAAUAACUAGAUUUUCUUUCAGUGUAUGGCUAGGACAUCAAAACGGAUCUCCAUUAUUUUUCCUGUAUUCAGAGAAGAGUAGAAAUGCUAGCCAAUAUAGCUAAUUUCACUUUCAAAUGGGAAUGGGGAGGCAGCGUGGGGGUACAGAGGAUACAGGAGAAGGUGGCAUCUGAGGAGAAUAUAUACAGUACAUGAGGGAUUUAGAAGCAAGCAUGCUUCCCUCCUACAGGAAGCAUCAUAACUUCUUGACACAGUAUCACAGUUCACACACCAGGAUCGUCAUCAUCAAAAGAUUACGCGGUCGCAGCUGCAGCUUCCUCCGCCACCUCCUGCUGCAGAGUGCAGAUCAGGUUGCGAUCCCCGUACACGUUGUCCACACGACCUGACAAGAGCACAAGAGAAAUUAUUAGUUUGUACGUCAAACAACAAAAUGUAAGCUAUGUGAAGGUCUUGGAACUAUCAGUACAUGUUGUUGGCCAGAACUUGGCACCACGAAGCCACGCCGCGGGGAAUGCAGCAUACUCCCUGGAGUAUGGCUUAGUCCAUGCAUCACCCAUCAGGAUUUGGGGUGGGUGAGGAGCACCCUGCGUAACAAAACAGGCAAAAGAAAUUAACUUCUCUGUUCAUGUGCAUUGAGUUGCAUGCAUCAGACAGUUCAGCCAAAAGCUCAAACUGUUAGGAAAAUGUUUGUGAUUUGUUAUGGAAACCAUUCGGAGUAGAUUACCUUCAGGACAUUGUUGUGCGCAUCUGCUUUUCCAUUUUCUACCUGUGCAAUUUCCUCUCUGAUGGAGAUAAGGGCAUCACAGAACCUGUCUAGUUCAGCCUGCCAGAUAAAUGAUGUGGCAGUAAGCUAAUGCAAAAGCCAACGGUUGGUGCAAUGACAAGCACUCGAUUGAAUUAGACAUGCCUACCUUGCUUUCACUUUCAGUAGGUUCAAUCAUAAGUGUGCCUGGAACAGGCCACGACAUGGUUGGUCCAUGGAAUCCAUAGUCCAUCAAGCGCUUCGCCACAUCCUCGGGCUCAAUACCGGCAGUUGCCUGUCAAAAAUUCCAAGAUCCAGUCAGAGAAUUGAUAUGGAAAAAAACGAGGCACAAAGUGCUCACAUGGUUCGGACAAGUACCUUGAAUCCUCUUAAAUCAAUAAUGAACUCAUGGGCAACAGUUCCAUUGACUCCACGGAAAAGAACUGGGUAGUGUUUCUGCAAAAUGCGUUACAAAUUAGAAAACUAGUUCAAUAAUAAAUAUAUUUUAGUAAAGGCCAUGUAAUGUGUGACCAUGAGUAACAUCAAGUACCUCCAGACGCUUUGCCAUGUAGUUCGCGUUCAGGAUCGCAAUCUUUGAGGCUUCAGUUAGUCCUUGAGAGCCCAUCAUGGCUAUGUAGGUGUACGAAAUUGGAAGAAUCAAAGCAGAUCCCCAUGGAGCAGCAGAAAUGGAACCAAGAGGGUCGGUUUUCUCAGGGAGAGGGAAGCCACCAGUGGGGAUCUAAUGAAUUGCCAAAUUAGUUUGAUAAUGUAGCUGCAUUUUCUUUUAAGAAACGAAAAAAGUCAAGCAAAAGAAAUUAAGAUUCAUUCUUUUGGUUAUAGUACUCAACAUUAAAGACAUGGCUCCAGUAGUUAACACAUCAUCACCAAACACUUUUUUAAUAAUUUAGUCGUGCAAAAGGAAAGAAUACAAAGAGACGACACACUACCAAAUAUCAAGCUCAUAUGUUUUUUCAAAUUAACUAUUGGACAUUGGGUGCUAUUUUAUUAGGAGUGAGAUCUGAGUAAUAUGAUUUUAUUUGCAGUGAUAACAUUAAAAAAUAGGAUACCUACCACUGGAUGAGAUGGCAAAAAUGGUGCCAAGUGCUUCUUAACACCAAUAGGACCCAUGCCAGGACCACCUCCACCAUGUGGAAUGCAAAAUGUCUUGUGAAGGUUAAGAUGGCAAACAUCUGCUCCAAUAAAACCAGGGCUUGUCAACCCAACCUGUAAAAACACAAAAUUUGUAAGUUAAAGAGAAUCAUUUGUCUCUGUAGGAUACUUAGUUUGAGAUAUCUGAAAAUGACCAGAUCACAAUACCUCAAUUAUGUUAAGAUUUUCAGUUAAAAAAGUUUAGGUUCAGGUGAACUUGAAGACAUAUUUCUUACAGAAAACAUAGCUUAGCACCGAUAAACCGGAUAAGUACAAACAAUUACCAUUUUUUAACAUAACAAAUAAGAAGUAGAUAAAAGAAACUAAUAGAAAUAUGUAGUUUGCAGUUUCUCAGAAUAAACUUCAUUAUAUUGGCAAGAUAUAUAAGUUGGUGGGCCAAGAUACAUUAUUACUAGUAUAAAACAUUUGAAGGGGGUAAUUGCAGAAGGAACAAGUAGACAGAGUGGCACAACCAAGUGCAGUGACCUCACCUGAGCGUUCAUGUUAGCUCCAUCCAUAUAGACCUGACCGCCGUUAUCAUGAAUAAUCCUGCAAAUCUCAUCAAUGCCUUCUUCGUAGACUCCAUGGGUUGAAGGAUAGGUAACCUGAAGAACAAAGAAAUCACACAAUAUUCUGUUAUUCUUGGCACAAAAUGAUACAAACAUUUCUUCAAUGAACUUUCAUCCUCGGCGAACUCAACAUUUUCCAUGGUUCCAAGUAAGUUACUCUUAAUCACUUGCUUGAAAGAAGAAGUUACUCUUAUUCAUCAACCAUAUGUAGCUUCAAUAUAUGAUGAUAUGAAAUAAGGUAUUUGGACAUAUUCUUCCAUUAUAUAUCAAUUAAUUCAAAUAGCUUCAUGUAAAAGGUUAUAUGAAGCAGUUGUCUGAUUUCCAUUUUAACAUACACUCACCAAUUUCCCACACAAUUUGUGUGGCUCGAUACUAUAACAUGCUUCCAUCAAAUUAUUUAUUCCACACCACUACAAUCUGAACACACGAAAAGAAGCAGUGUAGAUUUUUUCUCUUUUUCUUCUGAUUAAUCUAGUAAUUUCUAGCCAUGGAUAGUAAAUAUUUUAGUUAUAUAAUGUAGAUCAGAAGCUGCAAGAAAAUAAGACAGUGAAAGUCUCCUAAUUGCUCCAUCACACUUGAUAUAGUGAUAGCUACUCCCUCUGUACCUAAGUAAUUGUAGUUGGGGAGAACUACUUAGGUACAGAGGGAGUAUAAUAUAGAUUCAGAAUGGUAGCUCAAAAUUUAAUAAUCAACAACUGAGCUGAAAGAGUUCACACUGAGGUCGCAAUUCGUCAUAAACUCUCAAAUUGACAGAGCGUAGAAUUAGAAAUAGUACCAUCAGAGCAGACAGGUUGUCCUUGUUUGCUUCAGCAGCUUUCCUCAACUCCUCAAUGUUAAUGUUACCUUUGGCAUCAGUUCCAACAGCAACAAUCUUCAUUCCACACAUAGCAGCACUUGCAGGGUUUGUACCGUGCGCAGAGACGGGAAUGAUGCAGACAUUUCGGUGGUGGUCUCCUCUUGCCUGCAUUUUUUGCACAUGGUUCAUAAACAAAGAGUGCGAAACAAAGCAACAGAACUAGCGCAGCGUAUUUGUCAUGGCAUACCUUGUGGUAUGCCCGAAUAACCAUCAGUCCAGCAUACUCUCCUGAAGCACCAGCAUUCGGUUGCAAAGAAAACGAAUCAAAACCAGUGAUGGUGUUCAGCAGAUCACCCAGGUUGUCAAACAUUUCCUUCAUUAAAAAAAACAAGUCAAUUCGGAACAUUGGUUCAUUUUUUUUUUCAUUAGAAACUAAAUAAAUACAAAAUGGUCCAUACAUGAUAGCCUGCAGCUUGAUCAAUAGGGGCAAAUGGGUGCAUGUUGGCGAACUUGGGAUCGGUGACGGGCAUCAUCUCGACGGUAGCAUUUAGUUUCAUGGUGCAAGAACCAAGAGGGAUCAUACUGUGGCACAGUGAGAGAUCCUUGGAUUGCAACUUGUGCAGGUAACGGAGGAGCUCGUGCUCUGUGUGGUACCUGCAAGGCCACGGCAUAUCUUCAGUUAGUUUCAUAACAUUCAGACAAAUUAGUGAAGUUUGUGCUCUGUGCACAAUGUUUUUGUUUGGAAAUAAAUAAAAAAUAUUAUUGACGCAAAAGAUGCAAACUUUUGACAAUAAACGUACAUGCUAAAGAUUGGGUGGGUCAAGUAGGGGCUGUCGCGCACAAGGCUAGGAGGAAUUGAGCUUGAGACCUCAGGCGCAAUGGAUUCAGCUGUGAAGCCCACCUGAAAGCGUUGUUGCCAGAACAUCAUUUAAAUUUGCGACAUAAUUUGACAUGAAGCACGCGGAAUUAUGCAGUUGGUUGGUGACUACUUACUGGCUUGCCACCAGAGAAAACCUUGAACAGCUUGUCAACAUCCUCCAAGGUGGUGGUCUCAUCAAAGGCAACGGUGAUCUACAAUAUCACAACUCGAAAUUAAUGCUCGAAACUCAGAACUAAUUCGGUUGGAGUGGAACACAACAGAAAUCAGCUGAAAACGAACCGUGUUUGCGUCGACAACGCGAAGGUUCAUCUCGUUUUUGCGGGCCUCCUCAGCAAUGGCAUUAGCAUCGGCGCAAGUGAUCUUGACCGUGUCAAAGUAGGGCAGCUCCUGCACUGUCACUGUCCCGAGCUUCUUCAAACCAUGGGCGAAAGUACCAGCCAGUCCAUGGACACGGUCGGCGAUCGCCUUCAGGCCAGCCGGACCAUGGUAGACGGCAUACAUCGCCGCCAUGUUGGCGAGCAACGCCUAUAAAGUGACAAAAGGUAUCUAAUGAAUCACUAAUUUAUGAUAAUAUGCUCGGCCACUAACCCACCCACCCGUAUCAGGUAGCACGAACUCUUAGCUAUUGUGCUGUCACUAUCAGGAAAAUUGGUGAGUGGGUGGGGGUGCUCGCGUACCUGCGCGGUGCAGAUGUUGCUGGUGGCCUUGUCUCGCCGGAUGUGCUGCUCCCUGGUCUGCAUCGCCAUGCGGAGCGCGGGCUUGCCGCUGGAGUCGACGCUCACACCGAUGAUGCGGCCGGGCAUCAGCCUCUUGUACUCCUGGGAGGUGGCGAGGAAGGCAGCGUGCGGGCCGCCGUACCCCAUGGGCACGCCGAAGCGUUGCGCGGAGCCCACGGCGAUGUCGGCGCCAAUCUCGCCCGGCGGGCGCAGCGUGGUGAGCGCGAGCAGGUCAGUGGCCAUCACCACCUUGACGCCGUGCGCGUGCGCGUCCUUGACGAACUCGGCGUAGUCCAACACCUCCCCCUCGGUGCCGGGGUACUGCACGAGCACGCCGCAGACGUCGCCGCUGCUGUAGUCGAAGUCCUUGGCGGCGGAGACGACGACGUUGAUGUCGAAGCCGGUGGCACGCGUCUUGCAGAUGUCGAUGGUCUGCGGGUGGCAGUUGGAGGCGAUGAGGAAGGUCUUCUUCUUGGACUUGACGAUGCCGAGGCACAUGGCCAUUGCCUCGGCGGCGGCGGUGGCCUCGUCGAGCAGCGAGGCGUUGGACAUGGGCAGGCCGGUGAGGUCGGCGACCAUGGUCUGGUAGUUGAGCAGCGACUCGAGGCGGCCCUGGGCGAUCUCCGCCUGGUAAGGCGUGUAUUGCGUGUACCACGCGGGGUUCUCCAUGAGGUUGCGCAGUAUGACGGCGGGGAUGUGGGUGUUGUAGUAGCCCAUCCCGAUGAAGGACUUGUAGGUCUUGUUCAUGGAGGCGAGGUGCGCCAUGUGGUCGAGCAUCUGCGACUCGGUGAAGCCUGCGUCGAACUUGCCGGUGAACUGCAUGGGCGGCGCGCGGAUUGCGGCCGGGACGGUGGCGUCGAUGAGCGCGUCGAGGGUGUUGAAGCCGCACUCGGACGCCAUAACGG